rnacentral:lncRNA from 1 species
ACACACACACACUCUCUCUCUUCUCUCUCAUGUACCCUCUCAUCUUUCUCGGACUCUCACUCUCUCUCUCUCCUUCAAACUCGUACGGACAAACAUCCAAAGCCCUUGAAACUUCACGGAUCGAAGCUUUAAAGGUAAGUGAUGCGAAAAUUAACUUAACACACAAAUUAAACCCUCUUGUUGUCAAAUUGUAGUAUAAAUGCAAGUAGGGAUCGUUCUAGGCCAGGGAUUAUGAGGGAUUGCUAAAACACUUGAAACUGACUUAAAUAUGUGAAAACAAACUUAAAAGCAUGAAAUUAAACUUACAAGACUCAAAACAAAGCCACAAGUCUCAAAACAAAUUACGGAGACUCAAAACUGCCUAAAAUCAACUCUAAGGCAGUUUCUACCACUAACACAAAGUUUGGACGAAAAUUGAUUUUAUCUUGACUUAAAACACUUAAAAACACAAUCUAAAACAAGUACUAACUAAUAUGACUUUAAUAAAAUAAAGGGGAUUUUGGUUUUGGACGAAAAUAAGGAAAACAAAGCAAGAAUAAUUUAAACAGAUUCUUAGACAAAUUUAGGUGAAUUGAUGGGUGAUGGGUUAAGCUAUGGAUGAUGGGCUAGCUAGAGGGUCUUUCUCCACACAUGACACACUUGCAUAUAAAACGAUUUCCAGUUGUUUUUCAAUAAACCAUGAACCUCAACACCCCAAAUUAAUCAGGUACGCUUAAAUUAAUCCUCAGAUUUUCCUAAUUUCAUUGAAUUGGAUGAUUGCAUACAACAAUCCAAAGCAUUCCCCACAAGUUCCCUACAUGAAUUGCAUAAUAGAGAUACAAGCAAGAAUCAUUAAGUUCUAUGAAAAUCAUAAGCAUUGAUGAAACACUUGUAACUAUGAAUUGCAUGAAACUUAUGCCAAGAAUUUACUUAACACGGUUGUGACGAACAACCUUUACUACUUGUGAAUAUAAGUUCAUAACGAUUAGGUGAAACUCCCUUAUAUCCUAGCAUCAUAUUUAUGCAUGGAAAUUAAGCGUGCACUCUCAACCAACAUACAUAAAUCAGUUUUAAUUCAAAUGGAUUAGUAAAUUGAAUUCACAACUUAUGAAUCACAACUGAAAGUAAUCAAAUCAUAUUGCAAGCAUGAACAUGGUUUCGAAUUCCCCCUAGCUAAGGGGGGUUUAGUUUCUCAUACUUACAAAGCAAAGAUAAACAAAUUUAGACAUUGAAAACAAAAGAAAGAAAACACCUAAAAAUGCUCCAACAAUCCAACUUGAAUGGCAAGCACGUCCAAGGGUCCUCCUUCUUCUCUUUGUUGCGGCACAAGGUGUGGUUUGAUGGAUGAGUGGUAAAUUAUGGUGGUGGAUGGAUAUAGGUGAGUUAUGGUGAAGGGUGGAUGGGUGGAUUGUGUUCUCCUUGGUUUUCUUCCCCAAAUUAUGGUGAAGGGUAGAUGUAUUUAUAGGCUAGGGAGAGGAGUGUAUGGAGUUGUAAUGAGUGGAUGUAAUGGGUGUAGUGGGUGAGUGAUAGGAGCAUAUUUAUGCGACUUAAUUGGCUUGUUCUCGUGCGUUUACAUUGUGUUUCCUUAGUUAUUUUAGUGUUUUAAGUCAUUUUCGUAUGUUUGUAGGUCUUAAUAACAACGUUGGCAAGAAAAGUGCAUUUUGGUGCAUUUUGGAUCAAUAUUGGGCUGAAAUGGAUUGCAUGCAUGAGGAUGGACGUUUUGGGCAGAUUAGAAUUCAGCAUAUGUGUGUAAGUGUGUGACCUACAACUAACAAACAUCAUAGCUGCCAUGUGAUGGAGACAACAUUAUACAAGGCAUGUGCAAAAGAGAAACAUGGACAGCCAACAAAUUCGUCAAAACUGCCUGUGCAGAUUAUCUGACUUUGGAAGCAUGUUACGAAUGCUCCGAAUGAAUGAGAGAAUGAGCCUUAUAUUCUUGGAAAGCUACGGAUGUCUAUUUUCUGGAGCAAUUUACAGAUUGUUAAUAUCAUUUUUCUAGAAGAAGUUAUGGGCAUUUUAACACUGAAAGGUUCAGAAACGGGCUAAGCAGAUUUGGCUAAUAAAAUGAGAAAGUAAAGGCACUUGUUUUGUGUUUUGCUUUGUCAUCAACACUCAGCAACAAAUGGGGUUAUGAUUACACUCAUUUUUCUUUGGAGCAAGUGGAAAUGCACAGCUAGAAGAGAAGGCACAACACAUGCAAAGGAAAGGAGAAACAUGGCAGAAAAUGUGUGUGUUUUGUGGUUGAAAUGAUGCAAAGAACAUGUGUGUGUGCAAGUGUAACAGCUAGGAUGAUAACAUGGUAGCAAACACAUGGCAAAGAAAGCAAACACAUGGCAAAGAGAAGAACAUUGCAGCACACACAUGGAGCACACGGCAUGGGCAGAAAAUGUGUGUUUGGUGGUUGUUUUGAUGAAGCAUGUGUGUGUGAAUGUAAAGGAGAAACAUGGCAGAAAAUGUGUGUGUUUUGUGGUUGAAAUGAUGAAGCAUGUGUGUGUAAAUGCAAAGGGGAAACAUGACAACACACACCCACACAAGCUGCACAUGCAAAGGAAAUGGAGUGGUCAUCUCUCAAACCUAUAAAUAUCACCUCCCAUAUUCAUCAAAGAAAACAAAUUUUUUUCCUUGCUCCUUGGCAGCAACUUUCAAACACCAUUCUCUCCAAAUUCAGCCAAAAAUCACCCCUAGCCACACCACCCAUCAACCCUAAACAUUUCCAUACCAUUCCCCAUCCAUUCUACACCAUAAAAACCACCCAAAACCUGUCCAAAACCUCUAGUGCCGCAACUUGCAAGGAAGGAGAAAGAAGAAAAAACCUGGUGCCGUGCCUAAGCCCAAGCCUUGGGAGUUUUCUAUCUUUGUUUUCUAGGUGUUUUCUAUCUUUGUUUUUAAUGUCUAAAUUUAUGCAUCUUUGCUUUGUGAGUAUGAGGAACUAAACCCCUCUUAGUUAGGGGGUGAUUCGAAACUAUGUUCAUGCUUGCAAUAUGAUUUGAUUACAUCCAGUUGUGAUUCAUAAGUUGUGAAUUCAAUUUACUUAUCCGUUCGUAUAAAAACUAAUUUGUGUAUGUUGGUUGAGAGUGCACGCUUAAUUUUCAUGCAUGAAUUUGACGCUAGAAUAUAAGAGAGUUUCACCUAAUCGUUGUGAACUUAUAUUCACAAGUAGUGAAGGUUGCUAGUCACAAUCACGUUAAGUAAAUUCUUGGCAUAAGUUUCAUGCAAAUCAUAGUAACGAGUGCCUCGUCAAUGCUUAUGUUUUUCAUAGAACUUAAUGAUUCUUGCUUGUAUCUCUAUUAUGCAAUUCAUGUAGGGAACUUGUAGGGAAUGUUUUGGGUUGUCGUAUGCAAUCAUCCAACCCAAUAACUUGUGGAAAAACUGAGGGUUAAUUAGUGCAAUUCACGGUUAAUUUGGGGCGUUGAGUAUUCAUAGCUUAUCGAAAAGCAACUGGAAAUCGUUUUGUAUGCAAGUGUGACAUGUGUGGAGAAGAACCUCCUAGCUAGCCUUCCAUCCAUAAGUUUCAUUCAAAUUCAUUUACAAUCUGUUUUUGUUUUACAAAGUUUUGUUUGUUUUUCAAAUUCGUCAAGAACCAAUCUCCCAUUUAUUUCAAAGUGUUAGAUUAGUUAGUAAUCACUUUAGUUUGUGUUUUUAAGUGUUUUAAUUCAUUAGAAAACCAAAAUUUGUACAAGUUUGUGUUAGAGUCCCAAAACUGCCCAAAAAGUGUUUUUAAGCAGUUUUGAGUCUUUGGUUGCUGUUUUGAAUCUUUUUGUUUAUCUUAGUAUUUUAAAGUAUAGUUUUGCAUUCUUUGAGUCUAGUUUAGUGUUUUAAACUUUGUUUUUAAGUUUUCAAGUCAGUUUCCAAGUGAUUUAGCAAUCCCUCCUAAUCCCCGGCCUAGAACGAUCCCUACUUACAUACUUUACUACAUUUGAUAAAAAGAGGGUUUAAUUUGUGUGCUUAUAUAUUUCGCAUCAGUGAGUGUUGUGGUAAUGAGUGGAUGUAAUGGGUGUAGUGGGUGGAUGUUUGGUAAUGAGUGGAUGUAAUGGGUGUAGUGGAUGAGUGUUUGGUAAUGAGUAGUGUUUGGUAAUGAGUGGAUGUAAUGGGUGUAGUGGAUAAGUGUUUGGUAAUGAGUGGAUGUAAUGGGUGUAGUGGGUGAGUGUUUGGUAAUGAGUAGUGUUUGGUAAUGAGUGGAUGUAAUGGGUGUAGUGGAUAAGUGUUUGGUAAUGAGUGGAUGUAAUGGGUGUAGUGGGUGAGUGUUGUGGUAAUGAGUGGAUGUAAUGAGUGUAGUGGGUGGAUGUUUGGUAAUGAGUGGAUGAGUGUUUGGUAAUGAGUAGUGUUUGGUAAUAAGUGGAUGUAAUGGGUGUAGUGGGUGGAUGUUUGGUAAUGAGUGGAUGUAAUGGGUGUAGUGGAUGAGUGUUUGGUAAUGAGUGGAUGUAAUGGGUGUAGUGGAUGGAUGUUUGGAGUUGUAGGUCAACACACUUGCACACACACAUGCUGAUUUCUAGCCUUCAAAUCUUCAAAAACGUCCAUCCUCAUGUCUCCAUGCUUGCACUAUCCAAUCUUGGCUCAAAAAUGCUCUAAAAUGCUCCAAAAUGCACUUUUUUGCCAACUUAGUUAUUAUGACCUACAAACACACGAAAAUAGCUUAAAAUACAUAAUUAACUAAGAAAUAACAACACAAAUGCACAAGAACAAGCUAACUAAGUCGCAUAAAUAUGCUCCUAUCAAAUUCCCCCACACUUAGCUUUUGCUAGUCCUCGAGCAAAACAAAAGAAAUGAAACGAAACAAAACAUAACCUAACCUUCCAACAUUUGCCUCAGGGAUUUUCAAUGAAACAUGACAUGCCGCAAACAUCACCACUUACAUAGAAUUAAGCAUUUCGUACCCUCAAGCAUACUUAAUCAUAGUCACCAUUCACUAGCUCACAUUUAAUCAAUUAAAACAACAUUUUGAAUAUAGUAACAUGCCUUAGAGAAUUUCCUCAAUUCCUUACUAGAUACACUCUUAUUUUCACACAAGAAUUUCUGACUACACUCUCUAUACUAGGUAUAUGUGAGAAGAUUGAUGUAAACAUGAAAACUAGUACUCACAUAUGUUUUUUAACAAAGAAGCAAUUUCUAGAAUUAUUAAUUCAUGUAUAUAUAUGAUCUCAUGAAUGGAAUGCUACUACUUAGAUGCGAGAACCAGUGACACCAUAUGCUCAUAUCAAUUUCAAACUCCACAAAUUGAAACACACAACACUCGAGAUUGAAGUCAAGGGUUGUAACAGGGCUUGGGGGUAAUGGCUAACAAAGAAAUGAUAGGAAUAACAAACGUUCUUAAAGCGAUAGCAAGCAAAGUAAUGGAAUUGACACUUGGAAUUUACUUUGGAAUGCAAAAAUCAACAUUUAAACACAAAGGGAAGAUUCAUGCAACACUUAGGGUCGAAUUCAAUGCUUUGGACCUUUUCUUCAACAAACAACACUUUAGAGCUCUUUCUCAUAAAUUUUUCUACUCUUUUCACAACUUUUCUUCUUUUCAUUCUAUUUUCCACGAAUUUUUCUUUUUCUUUUCCUUUUCUACCCGUGCCUUAUGAAGGACUUUGGCACACACACACACAAGAAUCACUUCCCCCACACUUGUUUUUCUGCAAGAGUUCAACAAAAGGAAUUCCUUCUAAAUUAUGCUUUACUAUGCUUCAAGAACAAGGGUAUGGAUGGUCCUAAUCUAGGCUAGGUGAGGAUACUGUGGGUAACAAAGAACAUAGGCAACACAAGGCUCAACGGGGUUAAACUUAAACACAUAAUGAACAGGAUAGGCUUUUUGGCUCUUGGCCCACUAAACAACUUCAACUUGAAUAUGUGUUAUGCAAAUCAAUAACAUACUUUGAAUGAAAUAGGCAUGAGUUCUAGCAUUUGGAACUAAAUAAUGAAACGCCUUCUAAGUAGCAACUAAGCAAAGAAUAAUGAGAUCAUGCAACGACUUUAGAAAACAAAAAAAAAAUUGCACAGAUUAAUAACUCUCCAAAUAAAUGUUUAGGCCCAAGUCUCUCAAGGAUGUAACGUUAGUUUGAGUUCCUUCUUUCAAGCAUGUUACAAAAAAAACUGAUUUUUCCUUUUAUGAUUGCAUGUGAAUUCAUAAAUUAUAACCAUAACCAAGUAUACACCAAAGAAUAAAUCAAAUUUUCAUCCAUGUUUAUAACUCUCUUUAACAGUCAUGUAAUUAAAAACCAAAUCCUCAUCAUUGUGUUGGAAGGUACCCUAAGACACAAAUAAACAUACAAAAACAACUCUUUUUGGGUUUUUCAAAAUAAUUUUUCAAAUUUUUAAGAGAUUUUCAGAUUUGUAUGUCAAAACACACUGAAACACUCCAAAACAGCUUAAAACACUUAAAACAGCAAGGAACAACACUAGAAGUAAUGGGUGAUAAACUCCUACGAAUUUCAUGCAAAACAAUGGUUAUCUCCCCACACUUAAAUCAAACAUUGUCCUCAAUGUUUCAAGCAUAAACUCACACAAAAAAACAAGCAAACAAACAAACAACGAAUAAACAUGACAAGUAUGGCAAAGUAAAAACCAGACAGAGUAGAGUUUAAGAACGCAAAUCUGGUUUUGGAGAUAGAUGAUCUUGUUGUCUUUCCACAGCUUUGAUCUCGAACUGGUUUGGAAUUCUGAGUGAGGAAUAUGAAAGUUCAUUGGUUUCAAAUCAGACUCCUUCUGCUGGGUUGAUUUGAUUGUGCACUCUGCAUUCUUCUCUUGCUUUCUUUCUCCUUGUCCCUAGCUGAGGAUGAAUUCGCAAAUUGUCUCCACAUGCUUCGAGGUAUCAUUUUCACUUCCCUUAUCUAUUCCCCAGGCAGAUGUGGUAGACGAAGAGGAAGCAUAAAAUGAUGAAGAUGAGUACUGGAGAGCAAGGCUAGGUAAGCAACCAGGAAGGGGUUCCAGGUCGUCGGUUCCAGAUUGGAAGAUUGAUACCAAGUGCUGGCUGAUUGCUCUCUUUCUCCUUGUCCUCAAACAACGACAAUGAGAAUGACAGGGAGAAAGCAUGAUAUGAGAUACUCUUGCUUUCAACCUUCAUGAUAUGAAAUACUUUUGCUUUGGAUGGGUUAUUUGCAGAGGUACCCCAAGGAAUAAGGAACACUGGGUAACUCGAGAAGGUUUGUUGGAAAGGCAUUCUCGGAGAAGAAAAAGGGUUAUGUAUGUCUGCCUUGCAAUGGAGGGUGAAGGGUGACAUUUAUAAGAAUUAAUAACCGGUACUAUUCUUUCACUCUUAUCAGCAACCGUUGGAUGAUUUAAUAGUAAACUUCAUGUGCUUUCUACUUCACAAGAGAUCUUCGACAAAUUGCCCGUAAUUUUUGCAAAGCUGACUGUGCAUGUGACAGGCGCUGACACAUCUGGAAAAACAAGUGCCUCUUCGAUAUCUGGAAACGGCGUUUUGACAAACUACCCGUGAUUUCUGCAAAGCUGACUCUGCAUGUGACAGAUGUUGACACGUCUCGAAAAGGAGAUGGUUGGAAUCGGCGCUUCGACAACUGCCCGUGAUUUCUGCAAAGCUUACUCUGCAUGUGACAGAUGCUGACACGUCUGGAAAAGCAGAUGCCUCUCCGAUAUCUGGAAUUGCCUCUUUAAUCUCUAAAACCCCGUCAAAUGCAGAGGUUGCAUGUGACAAGUGUGGACAAAUCUGGAAAAGAAGAUUGGUCGUGGUUUCUAAGCAAGCCCAACUUUUGAGAAAGCUAGCGCCUCUUUGAUUUUUGAGUUGGCCUCUUCGAUUUCUGAGCUUACCUCUUCAAUCUCUAAAAUCUCAUCGAGUGCUGAUUUUUUUAAAGGUACGCAGGACGUUAAAAGCACACUUGAAUUUCUGCCUAUAGAAACUCCCUUCUUGCACUUCUACGAUAUUGACUUGUCCGACCUCUUCUUUCUUUAACACCUCUGAAAAUGUCUGGCCCCUCCGACCGUCGUUUUGACUUGAACCUUGGUGAAGAGGUAGUCCCGCCUUCUCCAGACAACAUAUGGCGCCCAUCCUUCAUAUCCCCUACUGGUCCCCUUACAGUUGGGGAUUCGGUGAUGAAGAAUGAUAUGACAGCUGCGGUGGUGGCCAGGAACCUUGUCACUCCCAAAGAUAAUAGACUACUUGCCAAACAGUCUGAUGAGUUGGCUGUUAAGGAUUCUUUGGCUCUCAGUGUGCAGUGUGCGGGUUCCGUGUCUAAUAUGGCCCAACGCCUAUUUGCCCGAACCCGUCAAGUUGAAUCAUUGGCAGCUGAAGUGAUGAGUCUCAAGCAGGAGAUUAGAGGGCUCAAACAUGAGAAUAAACAGUUGCACAAGCUCACACAUAACUAUGCUACAAACAUGAAGAGGAAGAUUGACCAGAUGCACGAAUCUGAUGGUCAGAUUUUACUUGAUCAUCAGAGGUUUGUGGGUUUGUUCCAACAGCAUUUGCCUUCGUCUUCUGGGGAUGUACCGUGUAAUGAAGCUCCAAAUGAUCAACCUUCGAUGCCUCCUUCUUCUGGGGCUCCGCCGACUGUUGAGGCUCCGCCGACUACUGAGACUUCUCCUAAGCAGCCUUUGUGAAGGCUCCCUCUUGUAUUUAUCUGCUUAAUGUUCCUUUCUUUUUUUAUGAAUGUAAAAAUACCUUGCAUAACUGUCAAUGUUUCAAAAAUAAACCCACAUUAAAAACAAUUAAACAAGCAACAAAUAAAAAUGACAAUCAUGGCAAAAUAAAACUACAGAAAAUGGAAGGUUUUUAGAAAUGCAAAACUGAUUGUGGAGCAAUUCAAAAAUCUUCCUUAUUUGAAUACAUGGGUUGCCUCCUAAUAAGCGCUUGCUUUAACAUCUUGCAGCCGGACGAUACCUCCAGUCACACUCCUCUAGGUCCCAUGGCAUGGAAGUGAUCUUCGAAUGGAAGGUGAUACUUGAAGUGAUCGGGCAAUGGUGUAAAUUCUAGUGUGGGUGCCUGAAUCAUCAAAAUCAGCAAGUUAGUGGAAAACGUAUGUAAAAUUGGAGAAUAUGACUUACUUGCUUUGUCCGACAAGAACUCAAUGACAAACACCACUUCUUUGAAAGUUUCAGGGAUAUUAGACUUGGCCAGAUUGAGUGUGAUGGUUGGGACUUGUCCCGUGUCAUAAAAUUCAACUUCUUUAGGAAUGGUUGUCUCAAUCACAUCCUCUUUGAUGCACUUUACAUCUUCUCCAGCCACUACUUUCUCUUGAAUCAUUCUUCUUGGUGUACAAAGUCCUUUGAACAUUUCAACACAAUCUAGAACUUGAUUUGUUGCACCAAGAAUUGGAAUAUCAUUUUGCACCUUUAGGAAGGCUUCCACGAUGUUUUUUUUACUCUCUUCUUUCUUGGGAAUCAAAAACCUGCGAGGAAAAAGGACGUUCGGAGGAAUAACAUUAGAAUGAAAUGAAAUUGGGACGUCCUUACUUGUGGUGGGUGGUUUAGAGAGCUUAGGGGGCUGCGGCAAGGGUUGUUCUACCCUUUCUGUGUGUAUGUCUUCUUCCUCCUCCUCAAUCAGCAGCUCCUCAUCCACUUCUAGGCUAUGUUUGGAUGUUUUUAGGUUAGCUCCAACCUCCAUAGCACUUCCCAAAGUGAUAGCAUCAUGGAUUUCAAAAUCUUCCUUCGAAUUUUCAAUAGCUGAGUUGGGGAGUUCACUUUGCUCUUGAAUUUGUGCCAUGAACUCCAUCUGCCCAGUUUGCUUCUCCAAUUCACCCGUCUUCUUGGCUUGAUUUUGCAUCUCUUUGUUUUGAUUUUCUACUUCCUGGUUCAAAGAGGUGAGUAACUUAUUAAACAUAUCAUUAUCCAAAGACGUACCUGAAUUGAAUUGGGCAGAUUGUUGUGGUGGCUAUGAUGGUUCAUAUGGCCAGUGAUAGAACUCCUCUGAUGGCGGCAAAUAUUUUUCUUGUUGUGAGGCCUGCACCAAAGAGUUUAAUUCAUUAAGAAUUUGAUUGUAAUCUAUUGAUGAAUCUGAGUUUGAUUGGGCAUAUUGUAUAUGAGAUUGUAGUGGCUGCAUAAGUCUUGAAUAGAACUCCUCAUAUGGCUGCCAAUAUGCUUCGUGUUGAACUUGUUGAGCUUCCCACCACAUAGAGUUUGAAUGAUCACUUCAAUCUCUUUGUAGACAUUGAUUGGCUUGAUAUCCUUGCUUAUAAGACGCACCAAAUGUAGGGACACUUUGCAUUGUGGUCCUUUUGGCAUACUGCGACAAUUGAGAAGUAAGAUUUGCCAAUUGAGCUUGAAUGCUAGCAAAAUCCAUGUCCUACUUCUUUAGUAUCUUAAAUCAAAGAAAGAGAACUAAAUCAAAUAUCAAAAAUUAAAAUAAACAAAACAAAACCAAAUAAGAAACUAAAAACAAAAGACACGAAAAGAAACAAAGUCAGUAACUAAAACAAAAGACACGAAAAAGAAAUAAAAAGAAACAACGGGGGAUUAGCAAAGUUGCUAAUCCCCGGCAACGGCGCCAAAAAUUUGAUGCGAAAAUUAACUUAACACACAAAUUAAACCCUCUUGUUGUCAAAUUGUAGUAUAAAUGCAAGUAGGGAUCGUUCUAGGCCGGGGAUUAGGAUGGAUUGCUAAAACACUUGAAAAUGACUUAAAUAUGUGAAAACAGACUUAAAAGCAUGAAAUUAAACUUACAAGACUCAAAACAAAGCCACAAGACUCAAAACAAAUUAUGGAGACUCAAAAAUGCUCUAAAAUCUCCAAAAUGCACUUUCUUGCCAACUUUGUUAUUAUGACCUACAAACACACGAAAAUAGCUUAAAUACAUAAUUAACUAAGAAAUAACAACACAAAUGCACAAGAACAAGCUAACUAAGUCGCAUAAAUAUGCUCCUAUCAGUAAGGUUCUUGCUCAUUGUAACCUCCUGAGUACAUUGAUACCCUUGUUUGGACGUGAAUGCUUCGAAAACCAGAGAAAUCCCUAACCUCGAUUUUGUGCAUUGUUAAUGAAAAAUGGUUGAAAAAUGAGUGAGAAUAAUGGGUUUAAAGUUUUACCUAGUUUUCCGGCCACCGGCGACUCGCCGGAGAAGAUGACGGCAUAUUCCGUCAGUUUGGAUGGAAUAUGUUGAAGCCGUCAGUCAGUUUUAACGAAAUCUGUUAGGUUUAAUGGAAUAUUCCCUAACGGUGGUUAGGGAAUUCGUCAGGUUUGGCCACGUAGGGGCGCGUUUUGCCGUGCCCUUGCCGGCGCGUGAGGGUUCCAAAAAAAUUUCUAAAAAUAUGGGGAUGAUCCUGAGGUUAUGUAGAUCACUGUGGUAUAUUCAUAUACCCAAUUUGAGCAAUGUAUGAGAAGUUAUUAGCUAGUUUUGCCUAUGUGCUUUAAAAUAGCAUUUUUAUAGUUAAUUUGCAUAUAGGUGAGACUUAUCCCGAGGACGAGCGUAUCCACGGGCGACUCGGGGGUUACGACCUUUUGACAUACUAGUGAGUGGGCUUUUGUUUUCAGUAUAUAUUUAUAUACUUGAUAUAUUUCCCAGAAAUGCAUUUUAAGGAAAGUAUGCUUUGAAAUAAUAUGUCAAAUGCUUUUAGAUUCUGAAUAUGCAUUUUAUGGUUGUAUAUAUAUAAAUGUGGUGCUAUGGAGCCACAUGUAAGUUCAGGUAUGUUAUGUUGUGACUUAUCGAUGAUGUGAUAUGUGAAAUGAUGUUGAACUUAUAAAACUGCACCUAGGGUGAUUGAGAUUUAGCCAGAAAUAUAAAGUACAGACUUGUUUAUUUACGUCACCUCCCGCACUAUAUGCUCAUAUUAGAUCCAACUUAAGUGCACAGUGUUGUCGUACAGACCUUAUUCAUGGUUUCGACUCGUAGGUGACUAGUGAUUUAUCGCCCGACUAUUAUGAGAGAAUAUAAUUGAGCAUAAUUAUAUUUCACCAAAUCUUGUCGUAUAGACCCUUUUUAGUGGUUCCGACUUAUAUGCAAUAUAUUGCCGUAUAGGUCAUUAUAGUGACUCCAGCUAGAUUGACUUUUGAGCUAUGAAUUCAGCCGUACAGACCACCUCAGGGGUUCCUGCUAGCAUAUCAUAUAUCUAUGAAAUCAUUCUUACCUGGAUUGUUUACUUUGUUAUAUUUUGGCAUGACAUACAUAUGAAAAUGAUUAUGUGAAGCAUGAAUUGAAUUGUUAUGAUUUCAGAUAUAAAUAUAUAUUAGACUUGGCAGUUUUUGACACGACACGGUAACACGACACGAAAACGACACGAAAAUAACGGGUUUCGGGUCAACACGAUAACUUAUCGGAUCACUAUCGGGUGACUCGUUAAGAACCCGUUAAUAACGGGUUCUUAACCGGUAUACACGCGGGUAACAUGUGGGUAACCCGUUUCGACCCGUUAAGAAAAAAAUUAUUUUAAUAAUUUUAAAGUUUAAUUACUAAAAGAUUUAUUAUAAAAUACAAUAGUCAUAUAUAUACAAUAUAUUCUAUAUUAAAUAUAUAGUUUUGAAUUAUCGUUCUAUAUAAAUUAUAAAAAUAAAUAAAAAAAUGUUUUAGUCAUUAUUUAUUUUUAUUAUGAGAAUUCCUUAUUAUCAUUACUAGGAUAAAUUUUACAUAACACAUUCUUGUCCAAAAUUUAAAUAUACUAGUUUAGUAUUUGUAUAUGCAAGAACUAAGAAGAUAUACAUACAAGUAUGAAAAAUGUGAAAGAAUAUAUAAAUAUUUGUGAUUUAUCAUUAUUCCUCUACGAAUAGAUAAUUGUUACACUUACAUUAUCGUUUAGAUUUUUAAAAUCCUUCAAACCCUCAUGAAUAAUGUUUUUUAUUUGAGGGAAAAAUUAAUAAUAAUUAUUGUAGAAGUGUAAAAAAUGUAAAAAUAUAUAUAUACAAUCACUCAUAUAUAAAAAAAUGUAAAUGCUUUAAAUUAAAGAUCAAAUUUAUUCAUUACAUUCUUAUAGGGUCGAAGAGUGUAUAUGUACAAAAUCAUCAAAAACGAAGCUAAAAUAACCGUUAAAUUGUAAUUUUUUGUUUAUAACCGUCGAAAACUUUUGUUCCGUUACAUAAUCUCUGAAUGUUUGUUUUUUACGAUUUUUUAAGUUUGCAAUCUUGGAAUGUGUACAAAUAAGUUUGACGGUUGGAUCGUUGAAAAAAGUUUCAUAGAAUGCAUAUUGCGUCAAAACGGUAUAUUAAACAAACACUUAGAGUUAAUAUUAUACUUCUAUUAAGUAUAAAAUAAGUUUUUGUGCUAUCCACUAGUGUAAAUACUUUAAAUUAAAGAUAAAAUUUAUUCAUUACAUUCUUAUAGGGUCGAGGAGUGUAUCUGUAAAAAAUCAUCAAAAUCGGAGCUAAAAUAACCGUUAAAUUGUGAUUUUUCGUUUAUAAUCGUCGAAAACUUUUGUUCCAUUACAUAAUCUCUGAAUGUUUGUUUUUUACGAUUUUUUACAUAUGCGAUCUUGGAAUGUGUACAAAUAAGUUUGACGGUUGGAUCGUUGAAAUUUUUUUUGUAGAAUCCAUAUUGCGUCAAAACGAUAGAUUAAACAAACACUUGGAGUUAAUAUUAUACUUUUAUUAAGUAUAAAAUAAGUUUUUGUGGUAUCCACUAGUGUAAAUACUUUAAAUUAAAGAUCAAAUUUAUUCAUUACAUUCUUAUAGGGUUGAGGAGUGUAUCUGUAAAAAAAUCAUCAAAAUCGGAGCUAAAAUAACCGUUAAAUUGUGAUUUUUCGUUUAUAACCGUCGAAAACUUUUGUUCCAUUACAUAAUAUCUGAACGUUUUUUUUUUACGAUUUUUUACGUAUGCGAUCUCGGAAUAUGUACAAAUAAGUUUGACAGUUGAAUUGUUGAAAAAAGUUUCGUAGAAUGCAUAUUGCCUCAAAACGGUAGAUUAAACAAACACUUAGAGCUAAUAAAGGACUUCAAAACGCAUCUCCUACACGUGACAAGCACAUGUAUACGACGCGCCUUGAAGUGGGGGCAUUUGUAGACAUCGAAAUUUCGGUAAAUAAAUGUUGACCGAUAAAUCAAAGUGUCAACGCUCAUGUAUUACAUAAAUUUUACACGUAGCGUGUGACUCAACGAAAAUUGAAAUGAGUUGGAAAAGUCAUCAAAUAGGACACGUGUCAACACCUGGCAGAAACGACUUAUUUCAUCUGGGAUAUUAUAUUUAAAAUUAGGCCUUGGAAAAUUCUAUAAAUACAAGCCCAUUUCAUUCAUUUGAGGGGGAACCAAAAUCAUUAGGCAAAAUUCUUGAAGCUCUGAAGCUCUGAAGCUCUGAAACUCCGAAGCUUUCAAGCAGGUUCCUGAAGAAUCAAGAAAUCUCUCUUCGUUCUUCGUUCAUCAUUCUUCGUUCAUCGUUCUUCCAAGAUCAAGCCCCAACGGCCCUUUGGAUUAACAAUCAUCCACCACUUCAAGAUCAAGCCCCGACGGCCCUUGAAGAAAGUAUUCAUCGUUCAUCAUCCGUUCAUCCAAGAUCAAGCCCCAACGGCCCUUUGGAUCAACAAACGUCGACAAAUCCACACAUCCAACCGUUCUUCAAGAUUAAGCCCAAAAACCCUUGAAGAUCCGUUCAUCACUGUUCUUCAAGAUCAAGCCCAAAAGCCCUUGAAGACCCGUUCAUCAUCGUUAUUCAAGAUCAAGCCUUAACGGCCCUUGAAGAAACACUCAUCAAACCCCAACGGCUCAUUGAAGAUCCGCUCAAAUCCACCUUCAAAGAUCAAGCCCAUGGCCCCUUGAAAGAAACUUCCAACAGUUCAUCCAAGAUCAAUCCUCGACAGCCCUUGGAUCAACGAAACAUCCACAAAUCAACGCCUUACGGAGAUCGAAUCAGAGGAUCAAAAUUGAGAGAGAUUGUAAUCCAAAAUCAUCAAAUACAUAAUAUUUGUUUGUGCACGUUGUUCUUGUCUCUUUCGUUUCAGGAAUUUUCCGUGUUUACAAAUUGGCACACCCGGUGGGAUCAUCUCUGCCUCUCAUCUCUUUCUCCGUUCAAGAAAAUCAAAACGCACUUCCAAAAUUAAUGGCAUCAAGGAAGGCUCAAACUGCUCCCGCAACUGGUGUCACUUUGGGCAUCACGACUCGAAACAUGGCAAGAGCUACUUCUGCCACCUCUUUCACCUCUGCAUCAACUCUGCCAAGGGAACAAGAGCACCCAAGGCACGAGCCUUUGAUCACCUUAGCCUCACUAAGGGCACCAAGGGGGAAGCCCAAGGAAAUACUCCGAAUCCAUGCUCUCCGAUGCCGAUUCAAGCGGCAGUGCAGCCAUGCAAGUCAUGACCAUUGGAGCAACUUCAAUCGAUGAGCAGCUGGUUCAGAUGAAUGAAGCGAUUGCAAGGCUAACACAGAUUGUGGAAGAAAAAGACUUGCAAAUCGCUGCACUCGUCAGCCGACUGGAGCCACAGGACGACGAGAACCCUAACCCAGAAGAUGAGCCUACGGUGGAGAGAAUUGAUGAGAAGCCGGAGCCAGACCAAGCAGCGACACUCAUGGGAUCUCUUUCUAUCCAUCAGCUGCAGGAGAUGAUCACCAACAUCAUCAAGGCAUAGUACGAAGGGAGCUCACAUACCUCAUUGUUCUACUCGAAGCCCUACUCCAAGAAGAUUGAUGCCCUGAAGAUGCCAAUGGGUUAUCAACCACCAAAGUUCAUGUAGUUUGAUGGAAAAGGAAACCCGAAACAGCACGUUGCCCACUUUGUUGAAACUUGCAACAACGCAGGACCCGAAAGGGAUUACCUUGCCAAGCAGUUUGUGCGCUCGCUAAAAGGAAACGCCUUUGAGCGGUACACGGACCUAGAGCCUGAGUCCAUCAACAGCUGGGAUCAAUUAGAGCGGGAAUUCCUCAACCACUUCUAUAGUACCCGCCGCACUGUGAGCAUGCUAGAGCUAACGAGCACAAAGCAGUGGAAGGACGAGCCAGUCAUUGACUACAUCAACAGAUGGCGCACUCUAAGCCUCGACUGUAAAGACAGGCUCUCGGAAACCUCUUCAAUCGAGAUGUGCAUCCAAGGCAUGCAAUGGGGUUUGCAAUACAUCCUUCAAGGCAUUAAACCACGGACCUUCGAGGAAUUGGCCACUCGUGCCCAUGACAUGGAGUUGAGCAUCGCCCAUCAUGGGAAGAAAGAACCGAUCGCCGACUACAAGAACGACAAAGUUGUUGGGCCAAAGGAGGAGAAGACUGCGUGGAAACCCACCAAAGAGACAAUGACGGUUAACACAACUCCCGUCAAAAUCUCCACACGAGGCAAGGCGAUUCAAACCGAAGCUUUUCGUGAUCAAGAGAUGCGUAGACGCACUUUGAAGGAGCUUGAGGAGAAGAUUUAUCCGUUCCUCAACUCUGAUGUGGUUGCCAUGCUGGAUGACCUGUUGGACAAGAAGGUGAUCAGUUUGCCUGAGUGCAGACGACCGGAAGAGAUGAAUCGUACCGACAGCCCAAGAUACUGUAAAUUCCACCACUUUAUCAGCCAUCCGACAUAAAAGUGCUUCGUGCUGAAAGAUCUCAUCAUAAAGCUGGCUCAGAAAGGAAUCAUCGAGCUAGAUCUUGACGAUGUGGUGAAGUCAAACUAUACCACCAUCACUUUUGGCUCUUCCGACUCAAAGUUUUCACUUCAACCACUGGGGGCAUCCUCCAAGAUAAGCAAAGUUGAAGGAUUGACUCAAGUCACUCCUAAGAAAUUGCACAAGAAGCAUACGUCUCCUCCACAAGUCCGCCAAUCGGAAAUGGGGCAAAGCAGCUCUUGUCAACCUUCAAAGCAACGUGAACGUGUUGAAGAUGAUGAAAUUUCGACAUAUAGAUCGUCCAUCCCCAUCACGAUGCGUGAUUUCUUGCCCGAAGACUUCUUCAAUCACUCGGUCAAGGCUCCUUGCUAUGAAGAUUAUGAGGAACGCCUCUCCAAAAUUGCUUGACAAAUUCACCAAUGCUCCUUGUUCGCACGAGCCUAAACUGCAUGGCACAAUGCUCCUGGUCUGCACGAGCAUAAAAGGCAACACCAACGCUCCUGGUCUGCACGAGCAUAAAAGGCGACAACCCAACGCUCUUUGCCUGCACGAGCUGAAACUGCAACAUGGCACCAAAUGCUCCUUGCCUGCACGAGCUGAAACUGCAACACGGCACCAAAUGCUCCUUGUUCGCACGAACCAAAGCUCAUUGUCUACACGAGCCUAAACUGUAGGACACGAGGCUCCUCGCCUGCACGAGCCUAAAACUGCAAACGGCACAAAAAAAGAAAAUACCAAAAAAAAUAUAUGUAUGUAUUCGAACUACGUUAAGACUUGAUCUCUUCUUUGGAAGGGUACGUAGGCAGCUUGAAUAUUCAAUUUCGAGUUCAGUCACAUUAAAAUAAAAAAUAAGGGUUUUAUUAAUGAAAGUCAAUUUCAUUACAAAAAAAAAAAAAAAAAAAAAAAGAAUACAUAUGUGAUUACUAUGUACUUAAAAAAAUUACAUAUAUUAAAAAAAAUUAUAUAUAUAUAUAAGUAAAUAAAUAAAAAAGGAAGUGGAUGGAUCAAAGUUCUUGGGCUAGAAAAUCUAGAAGGUUCAGCAAUCAUUUAAUUGGGGCUUGAAAUCGUGAUGAGCCCAGCCACAAAUCCAGCUCCCCAAGUCUCUCUCUCAACUCAUUUCUCCUCAGCCCAUCAAUUAAAGUCCAAGCUCAGCGGCAGAGUCGGCCUGAUCAUUCAGAACAGUCCCAGCUCUCCCUCAUCUCCUCAUUGUUGUUGAAGAUGAUCAAAUCUACCUAGCCGUGGUAAAUUAAAGAAGAAAUAGAGGAACAAUGGCUUCCUCUAUGGUUCCGUCCGCCGCGGAGAUUAGGACCCUCACGAUCUCCUCCGACAACCGCCCCAUGAUUCUCUUCGAGAAGUUCGGGUUCACCCACAUCGGUCACGUGAGCAUCCGGGUCUUGCACGUGUCCGUCACCUCCAAGCACCCCGAUAUCGAUCCCUCCCGCUUCGGCUUCUUCCUCCUCUCCGAGAGUCCCUCCUCCAGGUCCUCGUCGAGAUCCAGCAGAACCCCCAGCUCUGCGUCUUGGACUCCCGCUACAUCACCCACCUCUUCAAUUUCAAGGAGCUCUCACCGCCGCCGCAAGCUUCCUUCAACCACUCCUACCCAGUCUCCGCCCCCAACGAAUACAGCCUCUUCUUCGCCAAUUGCGUGCCGGAGACCACCGUAUCCAUGAUCGUAUGGACGGAGGUCUACAAUCUUGACCCGGAUGGUUCCCGCGACUACCUUUCGGCCGGGUUGACCAACCUGCCAUCGCUGUUUUCGGUCUUUUUUCUCGCGUAUUUGGUGUUUGUGGGCUUCUGGGUCUACCUCUGCUACACCAACAAGAGAUCCGUGCACCGCAUCCAUCUUCUGAUGGGCGGAUUGCUUUUGAUGAAGGCGUUGAAUCUGAUUUGCACGACGGAGGACAAGCACUGCGUGAAGGGGAAGAAGAAGUUCAUGAAGCAGAUGACCCACGGGUCCAAGAGCCACAGAGCUCUCGGGUCUAUCGGUGCCGGAACCACGCCGGGGCGGGUUUACAAGGGGAAGAAGAUGCCCGGGAGAAUGGGAGGAACCAAGACCAAGAUUAGGAAGCUGAAGAUUGUGAAGAUCGAUAAGGAGCUCAAUGUUGUGAUGAUCAAAGGCGCUCUGCCUGGGUUGCCAAAUCAAGAAGAAAUAUUUUCUAUUUCACCCUAUUCCGAUGAUGAAGAAAAACAGCCCUCAAUUAUUAAAGAAUGAGUAUGGGCGUCCGUUGAAAUUAUCUCUGAAGAGGGUUGUGGGAUGCGACGCGGCAGGAAGCAAGCCGAGCUCCAAAUGGUACAGAGCGCACAUGGUGUUGACGGUGCUGACGGUGGUUCCAAGGGUCGUAGGCGGUGCUAGUAUUCACGAGGGUUUCCUCCUGCAAUUCUCCCGUCAACGCCUCCACCUCUACAGCACCGAGACUCUUCCUCUGGUCAACGAGCAGCAGCCAAGCCGCCUCGUCAUCCUCAUCUCUGUCAAGUUCCAUCCCUGCAAAUUCCUCAAACCCGUCCUCCAAAUUUAUACAAAAAAAAAUAUAAUAAAAAAUAUAUGGUGCAGAUUGCACCAUCUGAAAAGAAUAAAAAAAUAAUAAUAUAAAAAAAUAAAAAAAUAAAAGGGGAUGGUGCGGAUUGCACCAUCUGAAAAGAAAAAUAUAUAAUAAUAAAAUAAUAUAAAAAUAAAAAAAAUAAAAAUAUAUAAAAAAAAUAUAAAAAAAAAUAAAUGGUGCGGAUUGCACCAUCUAAAAGAAAAUAUAUAUAUAUAUAAAAUAAAAAUAAAUAAAUAAAUAAAAAAUUUAAAUAAUAAUAAUAAUAAUAAUAAAAUAAAAUAAAAAAAGAGAAAUGCAUUGAGAGAUAGAAGUCCAUUUUAUUUUUGGAAAUUUUACAUAAAUUUGCAUUAUACAUACCUAAAAAAAAAAAUCAAUCAAAUCGAAUUUACAAGAGGCAAUCUUCAAGGACGAUCAAGUAGCGCCUCACCACUCGGCAGAGCUCUAGGAAGAAGAUGCGCCGGAGGUUGACUGUUUGAAGCCUCAUCACUCGGCGGAACCCCAGGAGGAGGAGGCACCAAAGGUUGAUCAUUUGGUGCUUCAUUACGCGGUACAGCCCCAGAAGACGAAGGCAAAUGCUGCUGGAACAAACCCACAAACCUCUGAUGAUUAAGUAAAAUCUGACCAUCAGAUUCCUGCAUCUGGUCAAUCUUCCUCUUCAUGUUUGUCGCAUAGCUAUGUGCGAGCUUAUGCAAUUGUUUAUUCUCCUGCUUGAGCCCUCUAAUCUCCUGCUUGAGACUUAUCACUUCCGCCGCCAAUGAUUCAACUUGACGGGUUCGAGCAAAUAGGCGUUGGGCCAUAUUAGACACAGAACCUGCACACUGCACACUGAGAGCCAGAGAAUCCUUAACAGCCAACUCAUCAGACUGUUUGGAAAGUAGUCUGUUAUCUCUGGGAGUGACAAGGUUCCGGGCCACCACCGCAGCGGUCAUAUCAUUCUUCACUACUAAAUCCCCAACGGUAAGAGGACCAGUAGGGGAUAUGAAGGAUGAGCGUCAUAUGUUGUCUGGAGAAGAAGGGAUUGCCUCUUCACCAAGGUUCAAAUCAAAACGACGAUCGGAGGGGCCAUACAUUUUCAAAAUGUUGAAGAAAGAAAAGAUCAGACAAAUCAAGAUCUUAGAAGUGCAAGAAUGGAGUUUUCACAAGCGAAAAUUCAAUUGUGCUUUGAAACGAACAACGUGCCUCUAUAAAAAAUCAGCACUCGACGGGAUUUCAGAGAUCGAAGAGGCGAGCUCAGAAUUCGAAGGGGCCAAUUCAAGUAUUGAAGAGGUGCUAGCUUUCUCAAAAGCUGGGCUUGCUAAAAAAGACACGGGCGAUUUUACUUUCCAGACUUGUCCGCACUUGUCACAUGCAACCUCUACACUCGACAAAGCUCAGAAAUCGGAGAGGCAUCUUGCUUUUCCAGACGCGUCAGCACCCAUUACACGCAAACUCAACUUUGCGGAAGUCACGGGUAAUUUGUCGAAGCGCCGAUCCCAGAUAUCGAAGAGGCGCCAGUCUUUUUCAACCGCGUCAACACCUGUUAUAUGCACACUCAGCUUUGCGUAAGUCACGGGCAAUUUGUCGAAGAUUUUCGGUGAAGGAGAAAACACGUGAAGUUUACUGUUCAAUCAUCCAACGGUUGUCGACACGAGUGAAAAAAUAAUACCUCUACAGGUAUUAAGGAACUUCCUAUAACUGUCCACCUUCACCCUUCAUAACAAUGCAAACAUACAGAACCUUUCUUCAUCUCCAAAAAAAUGCUUUCCCAACGAAACCUCUCGAGUCAUUCAAUGUUCCUUAUUCCUUGGGGUACCUCUGCAAGCCAAUGACUCCAAAGUAAAAGUAUCUCAUAUCACCAGGGUAGAAAGCAAAAGUAUCUCAUAUCAUGCGUUCUCCCUAUCCUUUCCUUUGUCCUUGUUCCUACCUACAAAGACAAGGAUAAAGAAAACAAUAUGCCGGAACUUCCACUCAAACUCGGGUAAGAAACCGACUGCUUGGAACCUUUCCCUGAGUGCCUGCCUAGCACUGCUCUCGAGUACUCGUCUUCCACUGCUGCUGUACUUUCAAAGAAGCUACCAUAUCUGCCUGGAGAACAGAUAAGGCAAGUGAAAAUGAUACCUUGCAGCAUGUGGAGACAAGGUGCAGAAGGAACAAGCAGAGAAGAAUGCGUUCUGCACAGUCAACUCAGCAGAAGAAGUCCGAGCUGAAGAACUCGAGAAGCUGCCACAUCUGCCUGAAGAAACAAGCAGAGAAGAAUGCAGCAUGCACAGUCAACUCAGCAGAAAGAGUCUGAGAUAAAGAACUUAAGAAGAUGCCACAUCUGCCUGAGGAACAGAUAAAGCAAGGGAAAAUAAUACAUUGAAGCAUGUGGAGACAAGCACAACAAAGCACGUGCCGAUUCAUCCGCUGCUUCUUCAAAAUCAAAAGUAUCUCAUAUCAUCAGGGUUGCAAUCACUCUGGACGGUGAACUCGUUUUGACCCUGAAAUUCUUGGGUCGACUUACUAGGUGUUGUGGGAUGCACGUGCCGAUUCACCACCCUUGAAUCGAAUCCUUAAAGAUCAAGUCACCAACUGGAAGAAAGCCCCAUCAAUCUUGAAGAUCAUACCGUUGACCAAACUGCUCAGGUGUGAAUUAGAAAGAUUGAACAAAGAAACAGGUUGUCACCUUUACCUCGUGCCUGCUUGCCAUGUGUUCGAGUCAACCUUUAAGAAUCAAGCCUCAACGGCCCUUGAAGAAGUUUCCAACCAAAUUCAAGAUCAAGCCUCGACGGCCCUUGAGGAAAUCACAAGUCCAAUUCAAGAUUAAGUGUCUACCACCAUUGAAUCAAAACCUAGUUCAAGAAUAAGUUGUGGAAAAUCAACAAUUGGAGGAAUCCAGAAAAUCCUCCAACCCAGUUCAAGAUCAAAGCUGUGGAAAGUCAACAAGCGCAACAAAAUAUGUGCCGAUUCACCCACUACCAAAGCCAAAGAUCAUCUACCACAUGAAGCUCCUUGUGGUCCAAUUUCAACCUUCAAGAUCAAGCCUCGACAGCCCUUGAAGAAAUUUCAAACAAAAGUUCAAGAACAAGCCUUAACGGCCCUUGAAGAAAUCUCAAGCCCAAUUCAAGAUCAAGCUUCAAUGGCCCUUGAAGAAAUCUCCAGCCUAAUUCAAGAUCAAGCCUCGACGGCCCUUGGAUUGACAUCUACAGUAAAGGACUUCAAAACGCAUCUCCUACACGUGACAAGCACAUGUAUACGACGCGCCUUGAAGUGGGGGCAUUUGUAGACAUCGAAAUUUCGGUAAAUAAAUGUUGACCGAUAAAUCAAAGUGUCAACGCUCAUGUAUUACAUAAAUUUUACACGUAGCGUGUGACUCAACGAAAAUUGAAAUGAGUUGGAAAAGUCAUCAAAUAGGACACGUGUCAACACCUGGCAGAAACGACUUAUUUCAUCUGGGAUAUUAUAUUCAAAAUUAGGCCUUGGAAAAUUCUAUAAAUACAAGCCCAUUUCAUUCAUUUGAGGGGGAACCAAAAUCAUUAGGCAAAAUUCUUAAAGCUCUGAAGUUCUGAAACUCUAAAACUCCGAAGCUCUCAAGCAUCCAGGUUCCCGAAGAAUCAAGAAAUCUCUCUUCGUUCUUCGUUCAUCGUUCUUCGUUCAUCGUUCUUCCAAGAUCAAGCCCCAACGGCCCUUUGGAUCAACAAUCAUCCACCACUUCAAGAUCAAGCCCCAACGGCCCUUGAAGAAAGUGUUCUUCGUUCUUCGUUCUUCGUUCAUCGUUCUUCCAAGAUCAAGCCCCAACGGCCCUUGAAGAACUUCCACCAAUUCAAGAUCAAGCCCCGACAGCCCUUGAAGAAAGUAUUCAUCGUUCAUCAUCCGUUCAUCCAAGAUCAAGCCCCAACAGCCCUUUGGAUCAACAAACGUCGACAAAUCCACACAUCCAACCGUUCUUCAAGAUUAAGCCCAAAAGCCCUUGAAGAUCCGUUCAUCACUGUUCUUCAAGAUCAAGCCCAAAAGCCCUUGAAGACCCGUUCAUCAUCGUUAUUCAAGAUCAAGCAUUAACGGCCCUUGAAGAAAUACUCAUCAAACCCCAACGGCUUAUUGAAGAUCCGCUCAAAUCCACCUUCAAAGAUCAAGCCCACGGCCCCUUGAAAGAAACUUCCAAUAGUUCAUCCAAGAUCAAGCCUCGACAGCCCUUGGAUCAACGAAACAUCCACAAAUCAACGCCUUACGGAGAUCGAAUCAGAGGAUCAAAAUUGAGAGAGAUUGUAACCCAAAAUCAUCAAAUACAUAAUAUUUGUUUGUGCACGUUGUUCUUGUCUCUUUCGUUUCAGGAAUUUUCCGUGUUUACAGUCAUUUACGCUUUAUUCUUCUUACUGAAUUUCAUUUUUAAAAUUUUAUUUUUUGAAAACAUGAUCAUCUGGCGGAUGUAAGAAGAUGAUAUCAUGUUUCUAUAUUUACGGUUAACUGAAAUAUGAGUCAAUGUCAUAUAAUUUGUAGAAACUUUAUAAACAUCAAGCAAUAUUUUCACUAACCGUAAAACUCUAAAUAUAAUAUCAACGAUCCAAACCGUUCAUCUACCUACACCCUCUAAUAGAUCAUGUUUUCAAAAAUGAAAAUCUAAAAAAACGAAAUUUGAUAAGAACAAUGAAGCAUAAAUGUAAACAACAAUCAACGGUUAAAUUUUGAUCUAUGAAUUAUAUGAUUAUAGUAGCGAAUUUCGAAGUUAAGCUCUUCAUAAAAGUUAUAAAGCUUAUCAUUAAGAGUGUUUAUAUAUUUUUUUCUAUAUUUUUUUACACUUCUACAUUAAUUAAAAAACUAUUAAAGACUUUAGGUAAGCGAAAAUAUACUUCAAACAAAAUUGUGUUUUUAUGUUUUGGAUGUGAUAAUAUGGAAUGUAUAUACUUAUUUAGUAUUAUGUUUUUCAUUUGAUUAUUUAUUGGUUUAAAAUAUAUUUUUCUUAACGGGUAACGGGUCAGGUCAUAUUACCUGUUAAUAUUAUCGGGUCGAUUUCGGGUCGGGUCAUUUUACCCGUUUAUUUUAACGGGUGUUACACGACACGACCCGUUAAGAUAUCAGAUAUGACACGAAAACGACACGAACACGGAAAACACGAUACGAAUGCCAAGUCUAAUAUAUAUAUAUAUAUGUAUAUGUAUAUGCUUAUAUCUUAAUUAUGGGAAAAUUUUACAUGUUUUACAGCAAGGGGUUAGUAUGUUGAUAAAUGAAAUGGUUUUGUAAAACAUUUGUUUUUGCCCACUCACGUUUUCUAUUUUGCGCCCCUUUAGGUUUUAAGUAAGCUUGUUGUUGGUGGCUUGAGGAUGUUGGCAGUUCUGACUUAUCUAAAUAAUAGUAGGACAUUUCUGGUACUGUAUAACUAGUACUUGUCCUACUGGACUACACCUAAACUUUAUGCUCUGAUUAGGAGUGUUCACUGUUGUAACUAACACUAUCACUUUCUGUUUAGUAGUACACUCUAGUAAUUUGGUUUUUAAUUAUUCGUAUAUUUCUUAUCUUUAUUGCUUCAGCACUACGCACAUGGCUACGUCACUCUCACGUGACGUCCAGCAUGCCUUGAUCUCGGUCGGGGUGUGUCAGUGAAUGUUCAUGCUAUCAGGGUUGCAAAAAUAUCAAGAUAAAAACCUUUGUUUUGGAAGAACCUGAUUACGUGAUGAUAUAGAUGAACUGGUUUGUUGCAAAAAAAGCUUCAUUGUUAGAUUCUUAAGUGCAGCAGUAAGAGCGUGUUGUAGCUUAUUUUAUCUCACUACAGGGUAUGGGCAAUGGCAGGGAGAGACGUGUUUGUAGAAUCAUAGGGGAAUGUGUGUUGAGAAUGUGUUAUCUCCCUACGCAGUGCUUUUAUUUAUAGUAAUAAGAGGAAGAAUAAUUCCUUCAUCCCUAAGUAAUACAAAUCCAUAUAGGAAAGAAUAACUAAAAUAAAAUCUAAUCUAGGAUUUACACAAUCACACUUAAAUUAGGAAAGUUUAUAACACCAUCUAAAUUCUAAUAAUUAAUUAUACUUUUUUUUUAAACUAAUUAAAAGGGUUUGAAAAUUUUGAGUUUUAACGAUAUAAAGUGAAUAGUACCAAGAUUAAUUUUUUAGUGUAAAAAUGUGGUUUUUCGUUAAAGUGAACAGUACUAGAAACUUUUCUUUAAAGUUCCUUUUUUUUUUUUUUUUGAUUUUUUUGAUUGGAAAAAUAAAAAAAAUAAAAAAGGUGGAGGAGGGUGCAUCAUGCAGUGGCACGUGACUUCACACGAACGUCUUCCAGGAACUCAGGAAUUAAGCAUACAGACAAUCGCCGAAAGGUCUUCAAUUUGGGGUCACAUGAGUUAACUACGUCCGUCCGAUCAACAUACUUUUCUUGUUCCAACAAUCCAGCCGUAAAUAAUUAAACGCCACCAUAGCAUCGUACACCUGAAGCAACACCGUAAUAUAUCUCCUCUUGGCGAGCCGGAAGAGCAAGUGUCUUUGUUCUUCGCUGGAAAUAUUUUUCUAUUCAUUUUCUUUUCCGAAUUCCGAUUAUCCAAACGGGAGCGAGGAAGAAGAAUCCGUCGGACAAAAUCUCACUGACCGGAGCAUCCAAUCCAAAUGGCGGUUUCCGUGACGGCGUCCACGAUUCCUUCUCUCAGCUCUGACCGUACGACUCGCUUAGCUGCGGCGGCGGCCUCAUCCUCCUCCUCUUCUUCUUGUUCAAAGCUGUCUUCCUCUACUUCUCUGCGAUUUCCGGCGCAGCUUCGACGUGUUCGGAUCGGAACUCAGGACUCACGGCCUCGGCUUCUUCCUCCGGUAAUGAAUUUUCCGUUUUUGUAGUUUCGUAGUCUGUUUGUUUCCCGAGAAAAUCGAGGAAUUUAACCUGAUGAAAUUGUGUAGCGUUAAAAUUCCUGUUCUAAAAUUUCUGUGUUUUGUAGUGGAAGAGAUUGCAAAAUUUAAAUUUAGGAAGCAAAGCAUACAACUGCAAAUCUUGUUGUUAUCAUAUUUAUGGCCCAAACACCAAUUGCUUUGUAUUUCUUUGGUCCUUGCCGUUUCCUAUGAGUUGUGAGAAAAUCACAUGGGUCGGUUUUCGGAGUUUCCAAAUUUUAGUCUUUUCAAGAGAAUAAAGACAUUUAAUCGAAAAGUGCAGGAAAAGUAAACUCAGAGGAUGGUUUGCAAGACAUAGAUUUAGCAUGCUACAGGAGGCAUGUGGAAUAUAGAGCUUAAGGACAUGGAACUCACUAUUGAUUGUCUUUGAAAUGGUUUUGUACUUGAUUUUGGCGCACGCAGUUGAUUUUUUAGACUAUCGGUAAACUAAUUUGGAAUCAAACCUCUCUCAAACAAUUAGAAUGCACAAUGUCACCGAUAUAGGAUAUUAGGUUGCAUCAGUUUGAUCUUCCCCCAUUUUCCAGGUAAAGUACCUUUUCAUGAUAACCGUUUGGGGCAUAAAGUUGGGAAGGGACAACCUAGAACCAAAAUUAUUGAAUGGGAUGAAAGGUGUAGAUUGUAAAACUUGGAUAGUAUAUCUUGUAACGAUUUGAAUGAUAGAGACAGUGAGCAAAUCCAUAUUCGGGGCCUUCAUGCAUGGACUCGAGUGUUCUUUAAUCAUCUAAUCAGAAGCCGAUUGUUUAUACCAGUCAAUCGACGGUCCUCCUAUCACUACUGGCUUUGCCUCAAGUUACAAGUGAAGUUUCAAUUCAGGAUGAUGACCUAUCAUGUUGAAGAUCAACACCAGCCCAAUUGGUGUUUGGAUUCUAGAAGAUUCUAGCAGCAAGUCUAGAGGGCAGAGCUUCCUGAAGACUUGCACUUUGUCCAGGUGCAAUGGAACUAGAUUUUUCUAUAGAAUUAUCUAAAGCUAAGUAGUCUUUUGUAGAAAGGAUUAGAAGGAUGUUUCUUAUGUCGGUGGAAGGCUGUGUGCAUGAUCAAUGCACUAGAAAGUUCUAGUGAUAGUAUAAGUCGGCAAACAUGCCUUAUAAAUAUGUAUGUAUGAGUGUUGUAAUGUAACCAAGAAGAAGUAAGAGAGCAAACCAAGAGAGAGCUAAGUAAGAGAGUGAGAAGCCUUGUAAGUGAGUAGUCUUGUAAAGAGUGUGAGUGGUCUAGAGUUUGUCUCUAGAAGUGAGAGAGUGUCAUACGUUCUAAAUUGUGUCCUUGAUAGUUGUUGUGUUGUAAUAUUCUGUGAGUUAAUACAAGUAAUUUGUUUACUUGUUUUGUCUCUCCAACACUUGUGUUAGAGCUGUGUAUUCUAGUUUUUCCUCAACAUAUCACUUAGGUGGUUAUCCAUAUGGACCAUGUUGUGACAGUUUCAAUAGCUGCGUGUACUCUUUCUUUGCUGUCUUUGGAAUAUUUAGCCUGUAUAGCUGAAUUACGAAGUGUGACUGAAUUGGUGAUUCAGUAAUUACAUGUAUAUGUGGAAAAAAAAUUACUUUUCGUAGGUUGAAGCAAAGAAGCAAACAUUUUCAUCCUUCCAAGAUUUGCUGGCUACCUCUGAAAAACCUGUGUUGGUUGACUUCUAUGCAACCUGGUAAGCUUUUCUUGUGUAUCUCACUUCUUAUUUUGUUUGCAAUUUGUCAUUAUUGUUGUAUUGUCAGCUAAACUUUAAUUCCUAAACAAGGUGGUAGCUAUUCACCUUUUAGGUUUUCCCUCUCUAUAUAAAGGUAAGAAUAGACAAUUAAGUAAUAAACUCUGGUUGACAGGUGUGGACCUUGUCAAUUUAUGGCACCCAUCCUCAAUGAAGUCAGUAUUACGCUGAAUGACAAGAUCCAGGUUGUGAAAAUUGACACAGAGAAGUAUCCUAGCAUUGCUGAUAAAUAUAACAUACAAGCAUUGCCUACUUUCAUCAUAUUUAAGGAUGGAGAGCCAUUUGACCGCUUUGUAAGUUGAAUUUGUUCUCUUUUUUCCUUUGGGAGAUUAAUAUGUUUGCCUUUGGUAGACGAUCAAAUGUCUAGAAAUGUGUAAUCUGUCACAUAACAUCUCAUACUGAUUGCAUGCUUUUUAUACGGCCAGAAUAUGGACGGGUAUUGUCAAGUUGUUACGAUUUGCUGUUAAUUCCACUUUUUAGAUUUUGUAAGAUAUCCUAUGCACUUGCAUUGGUUUACAAUUUCGUCAGGUGUGUUGCUUUGCAUGCUUUUCUUCUUCUUUUGCUUAGUUUUGAUUCGAAGAUGUUGAAUUUUAAGGAUUUAUGUUCUCUUAGAUCCAAAAUAUUAAAUAGAAUAAAUAAUGUAUGUUCUCCGUGCAUGUAUGCAAGGCACUGUUAGAUUAGUUUUGGCGGUUUUUCUUUUUGGUUUUUUGGUCGAUUUUAAAUAUCUAUGAUGACUUUGCUUUCAUUACUUGCAGGAGGGUGCUAUGACUGCUGAUCAGCUUGUCGAACGAAUAGAAACUACUUUGAAAGUUAAGUAGGAGACAGGUGAGCUCUAUAAUAUUCGUGAGUUGAGAGCACUCGUAUCGUCCGCUGUUCUUUCUCUGCUUCCUCCUCCCCAUUUCCUAACCUUUCCUUUUUCUUCACUCUUCAUUUAUUGGUCCAGCUUCUCAGGUUGAACCGAGAAGCUGAUCGAUUCAGCCGCAUUGCAAGAAAAAUGGAUUUUAUGAAGAAAGGCACUGGAUGUUUCCUCUGCUUUUUUAUUUUUUGUAUGUAACUGGUUUGUACCAACAAAAAAGUUACGAGACUUGGCGUAAUCGCACGGGUAAAGCUUAGUGAAAACAAUUUUACGAUGUCAGUUUCUGUUGUGAUAUACACAUCCACAUCAGUUGCAUUUGAUUGAAAUUCAUGAUUUGGAAAAGUUAAUGAAAUUUUGUGGACAUUCAUUUCAUUUGCAAUGCAACUUAGACCUUAUUGGCAAUUGGUUUGUGGACACAAGAUUUACUACUUAAUUUGGAUACCUUGUCAAAUUAGAGUCAAUAAUUAACAAUGGCAUAUCUAGUAAGAAGUUAUUUCUGCAUGCCUCCCUUCCCAUUUCCUACGGCUGUUUAGCUUGCAAGCACACAAAUCAUUUGUAAUAAAGAUAUGCAAAUACGAGAUCAAAUUCAUCGAGAUUGAAUGAACAAUAAUUUGGUAUCUUAUGUUUAGCUGCGGACAUGACUGACCUCAGGAGGUCUCAAUGGAAAAAAUUUCAGAAAAAAUGUAGACAAAAGUAACAUUGAGGAAUUAAAUGAUAAUUCUUUUCAUUCGUAAAUAAUAGUGUAAACAAUGUUAUUACAAUCUACAAAGUCCAAAAUUAUCAUCGACGAGUUUUCAUAUUUUGAAAAUGUUUAUGAUAGUUUCAUACUCAACGAUCAAUCCACAACUCUAAUAACUGAAAUUUGAGAAUAAUGAGUACAAAUAGUGAACUUGAUACACUAGGAAGCUUAAGGAGGUCCCAGAAAGUCCAUAUUCGGGGCCUUCAUGCAUGGACUCGAGUGUUUCUUAAUCAUCUAAUCAGAAGCCGAUUGUUUAUACCAGUCAAUCGACGUCCCAGAAAGUCCGCUCUUCUGCUUCGACGUUGCUGAACCCGCUCUACCAUGGAGACGGCUCCCUCCUCGUCUUCCUACCCAUGGCACGGGUUUAGUCCUCCUUGAUGGUCAGCUAAUGUUCACCUAAGCUUUCGCACUUAGUAAACAAGCCUUCACUAGUUGCCUGGAACAUAACUACUAUUACUAUGAUGAUUAUUACGCCGACCACCACGGCGUUUAUAAUGCUUCUGGUUCUAAUUGGGGUGUAGUAGCCUGUCAACUGUCCAGUACCGAUUCCGAUGACUUCGGAACUUGGAUUAAGCCCAUCCAAAUUCUGGAGCCAAGGUUGCCGAGUGAAUUUUGGGGGCGAUGCACACUUAUAGCUUUGCUCAUCUAGGAGGUUCAAAAGUAUGCUUUGUUCUUUCCAAUCCCAUCUCGCACCCAAAAAAAAUUUGUCUUUGGAAGGUGCGUCUUCUUGUUCAAACUUUUGAGUUUUCCUUCUCCAAACAAAGUACCACCCUCACUAGUGCUGCUUUAUUUUAUUGUUUUUUAUUUUUUGUUUUUUUUGGAAAACCUUAAUGGUAUAAGGGUAAUUUUAUUGAUAACAAAAAAAUAAGUUACACCUAGACAGAAGGGGACAUAAACCUUACCCCUCAUAAAACAGAGACAAUAAAUAGGAAUACACGAAAAAGAAGGGGGAACAUAAACCUUACCCUUCUAGAAAUAAAAAACGAGAAUGAUACAAAGAAAAGAGGGGGGGGACAUGAAACAUAAUCCCUCUAAAACCAAACCUAAAGGUCUAAACUUGCAAAACAAGUCAAACAACCCCAUAAAGUUAGGAGAAAAAAAAAAGUGAGACAAACCUGGAUGCCGACAUGCACAUUAAUUUGAGAAGCAAUAACCAGGCAAGCCAACAUAGUCUGAAAACAAAGCAGCACAAACCGCCAUCGGAGGAGAAUCAUGCCAAGUUAAAGAUGGAGAAGACAAUCCCAUGUUAGCAAAAUUGUCUGCAACAAGAUUUACUUCACGAUGUACAUGAGAUACAUAGAAAGUCAUUUUCCGAAUACGAUCUAAACAAAUAGACCAUUGCGUAUGAAGAGGCCAAGGAGGAUCAAAAUUAGACGAUUGAAGAGCAUAAAUAACACUAGAACUAUUACUUUCAAACCAAAGACAAUGCCAACCCUAUUGAUAUGCAAACUCAAUACUAAUAAUAAUUGCUAAUAACUCUGCAAAAAAAAAAAAAAAAGUUGCGAUGACCAAUGCAUUGACAGAAACCUCCAAGAAAACAACCAUGACAAUUCCUGAAAAAUCCUCCACAUGUAGCAGGAUCAGAAUUUCCUUUAGACAAACCAUCUGUAUUAAGCUUAAACCAAGGAAACCAAAGGACAGGAAGAAUAGUAGGUGCCUUGCGAGGGAUAGGUUGGAUCCCCAAAGAAGAAAUGAUCCGAGUGUCAAAACCUUGAGAAUAACCAGAAAUAAACUUCCCACCAUGAACAAUCGCCGAAUUGAUAGAAAUGCAAAAGACGAUGAAAAUAGAUUGGACGACCCUAAAAAAUAAAUUUAUUUUGAGCCUUCUAAAUAGCUGAAAUAGUAGAAAGACCCGCAAAAAUCCAUAGAUUGUGCAACUGUUUGGAAAAUGGCUUACAGACAUAGACAUCCCAAAAAACAACCAAAGAAUCUGAAAGAGGCAAAAAUGUACCAAAUUAACAUACUAACCACCUCCAAAGUUGCCUAGAUAUCUGACAUCCAAUGCUGCCGAUGAUGGUGAUGAUUAUAAUUAUAAUGAUGGAGGCUGCGAUUCAAAAAGAUCAUUCGAUUUCUCCUCUUUCAAAGCCGACAUCCUCUCCACUCGCAACUUUGAAUACGAUUGGUGCGGAGAAUCUUUUGAGACUGCUCACGCAGCCGUGCUUGGUUGCUUUGCCCUGUAAGUUUCGUCGGUAAGGUUAACUUUCCAAUUCUAUCCCAUUUUCUGUAUUUGCUUUCUCCUGCGUGCGGCCUUAACUUGUAACUGUACUACGUAGGAAAGCAUUAGUCAAUGUAUUUCCUGUGCACACACUAUCACUUGAGGAACAAGUUCGACUGCAUUGUUUGCGAUUUAAGUCAAUCUAGACCCUGCAUUGCAACUCGCAUUGGGUCUUACUGGAACUACUUACAGCGAGCAUGCAAAACCCCCUGCGUGUUGAUUGAGGUUCUGAGGGGGAACACUCCAUCAAGCACGUUGAAGAUAUGGUCUGUAGCAGCAUUGCUUGGAAAUUGGAAAUUGGAGAUCUGCCUAGCUAGCUACUAUUUCUGUGUCUAGCUCCUCAUGUAGUUUUCUGUUAGGUAAUUUUUUUUUUUUUUUAAAUGGAAGAACAGGCAUUUUAUUAAAUAAAAAAAAAUAUUUAGUCAUAUUUUUAGGCUUAUUAUAUUUAUACCCUACAUAUUGUUGAAUAAACCUUAUAUACUUAAUACACCUCAUAUUUACUUUUUCAAUUAAAAUUUAUCUUAAUACACCCCAUUUACUUUCCCAUAUUACCCUCCCACCCCCAUUCUCAACAUACACCUUACAUUUUCUAUAUACACCCCAAAUUUUUUAUAACUCAGUCACAAUCAAGAUUGGAGGAAGAUAAGGCUGCUGAGACUUUGUUGAAGGUGGCAGACGAGGUUAUACGCUGAGGUUUAAUGACAAAAAUUCGAGGGUAAAAGCAGCAAGGGAAAGGAGAACAAUUAGAGGGUCUCUUGUAAUGUGAAUGGCACUAGGACUUUGCCCAGAUUGGCAAAAACGUAGCUGAAUGUUGAUGUAGUUUUAUUGCAUUUUCAGAUGUAUGAAAAAAAAAAACAUAUUUAUUUAUUGGUGUUGAAUUGCAGAACAAAGAUUGUGUUUAGCCAUUUUAUUACUAUUAUCAUUUCUUUAAAUUGGGGUUAUGCCGUGAGAUGAUAUACAUAAGGAAAUAUUGUUAAUUUCUUCGCACUCCAUUCAAGUUCUAACCUUGUAGUUUCAUCAUUUUGCUUGCCUUUGCUGGGAAGACAAAAAAAAUAGAUAAAUAAUACGUUAAAAGUGAUUUGAGGUUUAUUCAGAAUUUUUUUAUAUUUUUAAAAAACUAAUAAGGUCAAAAUUGACAUUGUAUAGAGUGUAUAAGUUAUUUAAUAUCGAAUUUGAAUGUGAGGUGUAUUUAUCAGUACGGAUGUGUACAUCUUUUAUUGGCACGGAAGUACUUAUCGAUUAUGCAUUGAAUUUUUUAGUAAUUUAAUUCAAAAUGUGAAGUAGCUUUUGUAAAGUUACCGAAAGCGCCGUGACGGAGAUGAAGAUGGAAAUGGUGUAAAACUUUUGACGAGUUGAACCGAAAGCGCCGUGACGGAGAUGGAGGUGGAGAUGGAGAUGAGGGCCGGGGAAGAAAUAGAGAUAGGACAAGACAUAACGCCACCGCUCCCUCCGCUUUCUUCCUCUCUCCACCACUCCCUCCUCUCAUCUCACUGCUCUUCCUGCUUCUCCCCUCUCCCUCCCCAACCCUUCCCUCCCCUCUUUACUCCUACCUUUCCCAACACUCCCUCCUCCUACUACUGCUCCUCCCUCUGCUCCUCCGCCGAUUCUCCCCUCCACGUCUCCAGCGCCGAGCCCUACCUUCUCCUGCUUCUCCAAUCCCACCCCUCCGCCUACCCCAACGGCGACUCCUCCGACCUCCGCGCCGCCCUCCGCCUCCUCCAAUCCCUUCCCGCCACCUCCCCCUACCCUCGCGUAGCCGGCCUCCUGACGAAUCGCCACAAACUCCUCCACCACCACGACCAUAGGGUUCGCGACGGCGCCAGAGCCAUGUUCCUCGCCAGGAAGAUGCGGGAUGAAUCUCCGAAUUUCUCUAUCGAUGCGACUAUUGCCAACGUUGCUCCGCACGACGCCGUAUUGGAGGAGGCCGUGCUGUCAUUGGUGCUAACGAACGCCGUGGAGGUGCAGGAUAAGACCGGGCGCACCCUUGGAAUUUCCGUCUACGGUCCCAGCUUCUGCUGGAUCAACCACAGCUGCUCCCCGAAUGCUUGCUACCGCUUUUCUUUGAUGACACCGCCAACGCCACCUUGUUGGCCCGAAACGGCGCUGCUGCGCAUUGUCCCCUUCGGCCGCUCCUCCGGUCGUGCCACACAAGUAAUCCCUGCAAAUUUGCACCGUUUGUUUAAUUUAUAGUGGAAUAAGAUUGAAAUUCAGGGUUGUGAGAUGGAUAUUUGUUGCAGAUUGAGAAUGGUGUUUGUAGCAAUAAUGUGUUAGCAAAAGGUGUUGUGGUUUUUUUAAGUUUUCGUGCUUCUUUUCGGUUUUUGUUUGUUUGAAUUAGUACACCAAAUUUACCAGUAUUAUUGAACCAUUCGUGUAUAUUACGAAUGUAGAAAGCCGAGGUUAUGGUCCAAGAGUGACGGUUAGGAGCAUCAAGAGAAUCAAGAAAGGCGAAGAAGUGACUGUUACUUACACUGAUUUGUUGCAGCCUAAGGUAUCUGCAUUUUAUCUAUAUACACAUUAUACAUGGAUCAGCGAUUGGAAUUUUGAAUUCAUAUAAUCCACAUCUGUUUUGUCAAGUUAACUGAGCGAUGUUUCGAUGACUGUGAGAUGAGAAUUUGCUAGUGUCAUUUUCUGCUUAUUGUCCCUGUCUUAGGAAACUAAACUUGAUGAGACAAUGCAAGGCAAUCCGACUUCUUUCCACUUUAGGGAUUAGCUAAAUCUUGCCCCAUUUGACUUUUCUUUUACUUAUUUCCAAUUUUAAUUGUGUUGAUGUUAUAUUUUAAUCCCUUUCUUUUAACGUCACAUUUUCUUUUCUUCUCAUGAGCUCCUCCAGGCAAUGAGGCAGUCAGAGCUAUGGUCAAGGUAUCGGUUUAUCUGCUCUUGUACGCGAUGUAGUGCAUCACCCCUAACCUACGUGGAUCAAGCUUUGGAGGUGGCAAUUCAUGAAAACUUUUUCUUUCUUUCUUGAUAUUCUCAAUUAAAUACUAAUUCUUAAGUCUAUUUGGAGUUCUUCCGUAAUAUCUUUAUACUAUUGAUUUUACAGAAAUUAUAAAUGCACUAGGAUAUUUGUACUUCUAGAUUCUUGUUUUUGUAUCCCCCCCUGUAUAUAGUUUGGCCUUCACUUUGAACAAAAGCUCUUUUUCAACUUGAACAUGAAUUACCUCCUAACCAUUUUUCUUCCUCUCUGGCAGUCAACUUUAUUUCCUAGGAUGUAGCUAAUGUUCUUAUUGGUGUUUUUUGAAUAAUCAUUAACCUUCGGUUUCAAAACUCCAGGAAAUAUUUGCAGUCAAUUCCAACUCCUCCAGUUUGAGUUUAGAAAUAAACUUCAAUAGAGAUAAGGCAACGCAAUUGUUGAGUGUUUACUUUGAUGAUGCUAUUGACGACUACCUGUCGAGUGGCGAUCCUGAAUCUUCUUGUGAGAGGCUUGAGCAUGCGUUCACACAAGGACUCUCUGAUAUGCAAUUAGAUUGCAACGGAGAAACAUCUCAGCUGAGAUACUGGUUGCACCCAUUAAAUUACCUCUCCCUAAAUGCCUACACAACAUUGGCUUCAGCGUAUAAAAUCCGUGCAACUGACAUGAUAGCUUUAUGUUCUAAAAUGGAUGAUCAUCUGUUAAAAGCUUUGAACUUAAGCAGGACUAGUGCAGCAUACUCCUUACUACUUGCUGGUGCAACUCACCAUCUGUUCCGCUCUGAAUCGUCUCUAAUUGUAUCUGUUGCAAAUUUCUGGACAAGCGCAGGGGAGUCAUUGUUAACUCUUGCUAAAAGCUCAGUCUGGAGUGAGUUUGUCCACCGGGAUCUGCCUGUGUCAAAUCCAUGUUCCACUGCAAGUUAUAGAUGUCCAAAAUGCUCAUUGAUAGACAAAUUUGAAGCUUGUUUAUUCUAUGGUCAAGUUCAACAUGCAGAUUUUGACGAUGUCUCAAGUGAAUUCAUUGAUUGCGUCUCUAACUUUACACAGAAUGUUUGGAAUAUUUUGGCUCUCAGUUGCCAGUACCUUAGAUUGAUUAAGAGUCCUAUUGAUUUCAGUUGGCUUGGUACCACAAAAGAUUCCAGUGUAGGGGAAGUUCUGAUUCGGUCUAGUGGCACUAAAGCGGGUUCUUGUGGGACUGAGAGAAGCAUUUCUGGAAGUGAAGCAGAGGGAUACACAGCCCAGGUACGGAUAUGUAUUUUUAAGCUCGGUGUCCAUUGCUUACUAUAUGGAGGAUAUCUAGCGAGCAUAUGUUAUGGUAAUUCCCAUUUGACCUGUUAUGUUCGUAAUAUUUUAGAUAUGGAAGGGAUAUUAUUGAAUCCUUGUCAUGAACCAAAUUGAGUUUGAGAUCUUAGAAGUUAAAUUAUUCCUGUUUUGGUGUUAAUUGCUGUGUUAUUAUACUCGUUAAGAAUCUGUUAAAAAUGUUGGUUGCAUAUAUCGUCUUCUCUGCUUGUGAUUUUUCGCCUCGAACUCUAUUCGUCUUGCAUGAUGCCCCAAGGAAUCAGCCACACGUAUCAGAAGUUUGUGUCAACGGAUUCAAUUUGAUAGACUACAGUGGGUUUCAAAAUAGAAUAAUCCGCUAUAGCUGUUUCAUAUAUCAUUUCGGUUCAGUCAAAUUAAAGAACCAAAAUUGAAAUCACAAUUGGAUUCGAUUUGGAAACAUCUGAAAUACAAAAUUGAAACCACAAUCGAAUUAAAGAACAAAAAUUGUCAUCUCCUGAUGCAUCCCUGUUUCUAUUUGUGUUCGUGUUUGUGUCAAAAAUACAUCGUAAGAAUGUUAUAACAGUUGCAUACUUAAAGCGACGCCCUACUGAAUGUUACAAUAGAUGCAUACAAGACCGUCGCUAAUGUCAAUGUUUCUUCUUUUUGUUGGACUUUGAGUUGGAGCCAUGCUCAUUUUUAUGUCGCUUUUCCCCACUCUUGUGACUCUCUCUCUGUUUUCCUUUAUCCAUUUUGUUUCUACUUGAUUUCACGCUAACGAGACCACCAGCAGGUAGGUUUGCACCGCCAUUCUGUAAUGCAUUCUCAAAGUCUGCAUCUCUGUCCCCAAUCGCGUACUGUUGAAGCAACUUGGGAUCUAAUGACCCCUCCGAGUUGGAUCUCAUCCCAUCCUGUAUGUGCGUAGUCAAGUCAGCCCAACUCUUGGGAUUCAGAACGCGGGAAAGAGAGGCAGUUCAGGUAACACGAAGGUAAGGAAGGAAUAAAGCGUACCUCAACUUUUCUUGCAGCAUCAUUGAGAUCAUCAUCAACAGAGAUCUUGUGAGGUUCCAAGAGAGUCUGAACCAAAAUUUCCGAAUCAGAGUGGAGUUACAACAUAGGCAGAAGAAAAGCACAGUAGCAUACAUACACGCACGCACGCACAAUUAUAAUGUGAUAGACGAUGUUUAAGCUUGCAUUAAGAAACACAAUAAUGUAAACUUAGCGAUUACAUAUCAAACAAAAUAGUUCAGGUACCAAAGUGGCUCACGCGCAACACACAUGUCAAUAUCAUAUAGUUAAGCCAACUAGAAUCAUAAUGCAUCCUACGACAUGAAAUUAUUAGAAAGAGAUGGAAACCACCAACAUAUCAUGUACUUUCCAUAAGAAAAAAAAGGGUUACUGCUUUGCUGAACUUACUUCUUUUGGUUUAGGCAAGGUUGACACAAGGCCCUCAGAUGCAAUAGCGUAUAGAUAUUUGUGAAACUUUUUCAUAACUUUUAUAAACAGAGACAAUAUUUGCUGCCUUUCCAGUUUCAUCAACCCCUGGAAAACGUGAAUGUAAGUAAAAAUCUACACCUGAUAAGAAUGAAAUAAAGAGCAGAAAUGACGCCACCAAGUAGAGUGUUUUGUCUUUGCAAGUGGGUUUGAUUGCGUGCUCGCAUUGCAUCUAUGUGACUGGUAUAGCCAAGCAAACCAUAUGAGUAACAAGUAGAGAAACAAACCUCAAUAUAGGAGAUAUCUUGAUUCUGUAAGCCAAUGCAGAGCAAUAUGGAAGCCUGGGCACCUGUCAAUGUCACUGGAAGUUUCUCUUGGAAAUACAGAUGUGAAAGCGUUGGAACAAGAUCCAAAAUCUGUAAAAUAAAAGCAUAACUUUAACAUGUGUAAAGUUAUAAACAAACGAUAACUAGAGUACAAGAGGACCUCAGUUUAGAAAAUGACACUUAAUUUCAAAUUCAAAUGGACCCCAGGGUUUAAACUGUAAUUUUAAAAACAAUUCGCAGGUAAUUUGAAGAAAGUAAGGUCUGUUGGUUAAGGAUGAAAAUGCAAUAAGCCCUCGGAUCCCUCCUCCCCACUAUCAUCUAUGCCUAACAGGAGGAAGAACAUCUUGACACAUUCAAACUGGCAGCCUUUCCCAAAAAACAGAAGGAAGCAGAUAAUCCACUCAAACCAUAAUCAACAAAAAUGGACGACAUGCCAUUGACCAGGAUGCACUGCACCUUCCUGAGAACCGCACAACAAAUGGGUUCACCUCCCUCAGGGGCAUACCCACAAGGGGGUGGGAUUGGGUGGGAGGGGAAGAGAAGGGGUCUAAUAGCCUAAUCGCUGUUGAUUUCAUCUUUUUAUGUAACACAGAGCACGGGAUGAAACAUCGGCCACAGAAUCCUACACACAAAUUACUUGUAAAGUACACAAAUUCCCCUUCUCAAACAAGCAAUUUUGAACUUUUAAUGUGUAACUGAACAUAUAUAUACAUAUAAUUAGAUCAAUAACUAAACACAAUGUCCUAAUAGUUCACUUUUGAAAAAGAUUAUUCAUAAAACAUUGCAAGAGUAAUAUAUGUUCACAAUCAUGGUAUCAGAUUGUCCACAGUAAGAAAACAAAUAUUUCACCACUGUCAACUAAAAAUUGUAUCACAAUCACAAUCAUAUUGCCACACUGAGACGAUAAUUCUAUCACAAAGGAAUACAAUUUUUCUUUUGUAAUGCAAUAUUACUUUCUUUUUCUAAAGGAAAGCAUAUUUUGUCUUGUAACGCAAAUAUCUUUUUUGAUUCUAAGGGAAGUAUUUCUUGUUCUGUAAUGCAAACAUUACUUCUAUUUUUAAUAUGAAUGUAUGGAAUCAAUUAGUAAUCCUAAGAUAAAAAAAUCCCAAAACACUACAUAGCACUAUGACAGGGCAAGUUGGCAAUCAACCAUUGUUCAGAGAACUUACCAUAUGAAAGUCAGCAAGACUGCUGGUGUAGGCCUCCAGUCGCUUCAUAUCAUAAGGCGAAAGUAAGUCUGUGAUAGACCGUAAGAAUCCAUCUGUGGUAGACGAUUUGGGUUCUCCAUCCUUGUAAUUGAUCUUAGGAUCUAAGAUGCUGGAAAAUUAUUAGUUAGUACGAGCACUUGAACAAUAAGCAUUUAUCAGAAUGGAACUUUUAAUAGUACCUCAUAGCGAGCCUAUAAUCCAUUGUACGAAAACUAUAACCCAAUAGUCUCAAAAAUCUUCUCCUGAAAUCUAGGUAGCCAACAAAUAAUCAAGCUGUGAACUGAAAUACAAAAAAUCUGCACAAAUUUAAAUAGAACAAAGGUUUUCCAAAGAAAAAUGGGCCCACCUAGGUUGAAUGGACGAAAAUCACUGGUUUCAAGUUCAUCAUUCUUCAAAGAUUUGAGGACCAUACACGUAUGCUCCCCGGUCACACCACUCUAUUACAUUGAAAAGAAAAAUGAAAAAUUAUUGUUUAAUCAGUCAUUCAUUCACAAAUGAUAAUAUUCAAAAAAACAGUAAACGGAAAAAAGGAUUCAGUAUGGAGAGGGGAAUCCAUCUUAACUGGAAUAUGUCCAAUAUAGAAUGGAGCAAACUUAUGUUUCCACCAAAACCUGAAAAGGUCCAAGGUAAGCCCAAAGGAGACACCAAUAUAAUGGAGCUUCUCUGGUCGCCUUUCACGAAGAUGAACAAGCAAAUGAGGAAGAUCUGUUCUAGGUUUUAUACUUUCUUCCAGCAAUGAAACCUAUAAAUAAAAUAGACAUAGGUAUCAUUCCGAUAAACAAUAUCAAGGCACAGGCGGCAGGUUGAUUAAUACCAAACAAACAAACCAAUACAUGAUAAUAUACUUUGAUGUCAUUAUGAUUAAAAUUAACACAACAAAUGAUCAUUCACAAAAGUUUGUCAAAUUAUAUUCAAACACAGAAAUUGUUCUACAAUCACCGGAAUGAAGCUUAACCAACUCAAACACUUCGACAGAACAAGAAUUGCAUUACCAGAAACCUAUGAGUUACAAAAUUGCCUCCAAUUGCAAUAAUAAUACAUAGAAUAGUCUCGUAUAAGCAGUUCUCCAACCUAUUAAUUAAAAAUAUUUAUAAAAAAAAAAAAACUAAGCUUGGUGAUUGUAGUUCACCUUCUCAGCAGCUUCUGUGACUCUGAGUGGGGGAGUCUCAACAUCUUCAACGUCCAGUUCAGAAAUAGGAGCAAACUGUCCUUCGUAGUACCUGAGGAGAAAUAAACCCUUAACACCCAUUUUUUCAAAUAUAAAAACAUAAAUGUGAAGCAUCAACUUUUAGAACCAAAGAGAUUCAGUGCAAUUUUCAUGUCAAAACACUUUUAUCUCAAUAAUGAAGUACUUAUGAGUUACAUUGAUACAAGAGCAAUGCAUCCCACAUAUCACACACAUUCCUUAUAUCUGGAUCCCCAACAAUAGCAAUCCAAUGUCACCCACAUAGCACAUGAUACAUACCAGAGGUGUCCCUAGAAUGUCCACAUCAGCCAUUCCUUAUAUCUGUGUCCCCAAAAACAUUUGCAGUAAAAAGUACAUGGACUUAUGAGCACAAAGGGAUAACGGACAUGUAUGGGUUGACUUGAGAGAUAAACCAAGUAAAGUAAGUUCAAGAAAAAAUCUAGGACCAAAUAGGAUACAAGGUCAGAAUCAGUGUGACCCAUCUAAAAAGUUAGGACCCCACAUUAAUUUGUGCAGUCAACAACGAGGAUCCAUCUUUGGAUUAUUAUCCUAAAACGCUCUAUCUUUGGAUUAUAUCCUAAAGUGCUGCUGGUUAAGCUUGUUUCUGGUUUUUCUCUGUUGGAAAUUUCAAUUACUAACGAAAUAUCCAAUCUUCAUUUAAACAUACAGAUUUAAACUCAACUGUUGGCACUGCAGACUCUUGGCCAUUGUUGGGAUUGAAAUAAGCUAGAGUUUCUCAAGAUAAAUGCGGAUGAGGUGGGUUUUAUUUGAGAUAGCGAAUUCCAUGUGUUUGUGGAUUUAUUGCCAAAGCAAUUUGGGAAGAUCCCUGCUGUUUCCUCCAGAUGGAUGGGGUUAUAAUUUCAUUGUAACUUUUCUGAAGUAAGUUUUAGUUGGACUCCUUUUCUUUGCAAUGGACAACUUCUCCUCCUUUCCUUUAGAAAAUGCUUUGCUUUGCUGAAUUUUUCGUAACUCUUAGAAAUGUAACCCAAACUAAGAUGAAAACCCCCAACAUGACCGUAUUUUAAUAUGCUAUCACUUCUAAUCCUCUAUAUCUUUCCACUUGUUUCUCCAACUACCAUCAUAUGACUCGAGAGUUGUAUUGUGAGAAAGUCAUCUGUAUAUCAAAACUGAAAUCAAAUGAUCAUCUCUUCAGCACCCACAUGGUCUAUGUUCUAUAGCUUUCAACCCAAGUGAACUGAAAGCAUGAGACUCACAUUUUGAGUUGCGACUUUAUGUGCCUGAGCCAGGGUGCAUAUGCAUGAUUGCUUUUCAUUCAUUUUAGAAAUCAUUUGAAGCAUUGCUUCAGACAUAUAAUCUUCAAUCUUUUCACCUUUUUUUUUAUGACAAACAGUAGCGUUAGUGGGUUAAAAGUUUAUUUGUUAGGGGGAGGGGAAUCGAUGGGCAUCAAACCCGCACCAGGGUGCAUAUGCAUGAUUGCUUUUCAUUCAAAGUGUAGCAAUAUGGGGCUAAAAGAAUCACUCAGUCAAUCUUUCUCAACACCUUAGGCAUCCACAUACACAUUGGGAUCAUGUAUGUGAUCUACAAAAACGUUUAGGUGGGGAAUAACUCAAAGAGGAGCAUACCUUGUCAAUAGUUCCACUGCUUGUGAUCCAUAUCCAAUCUACAACAACGAAAAAUAAAUUACCAUUUCAACAGAUCCCUGGUUAUAGAUUACCAUUUCAACAAAAUCCUGGUUAUACAUAUUGCUUUGGAAACCAUAAUGAGAGAAUACCUUCAUGGCACUUGGAUGUGUAGCAAUUCGUACAAUCCGAGCACCUGAAAGACUGGGAAAAACUGUGUCCUGAAAUUGCUCACAGAAUUUCCAUGGUAUCUGGUCACCAGAAGGCUGAUGACCAUCACUUAAACUUUUCAUUGCAGAUUCACGAGAGAUCUUUCCCUCAAGGCAGACCUAAGAACAAAAUGAUAGCACAUAAAAUGUUGAGCAUCAAAGAAUUAGUGUUUUAUAGAAGAUGAAGUACGUGUUUAAAGUGUUGUCCUUUAUUGCUAUUUCACAUAAGGUAAAAUUAUAAAUAAAAAAACUAAUAAAAUUUUGGGUAUGCGUUAAAUAACUAAAAGAAAUAAUAGUCCUGAACUAGGGGAAGACAGUCAAACCUGAAUGACACACAAAAUAUCAGGAAGCUGAUUUUUUGACUCAUCAACAGGGCCUGCACGUGCAAAUUAUAAUCAAGUCCAGCCAAAUAGCGGCAAAAAAAGAAAGACCAGUUCUAACGUAACAUAUAUACCAAGUAGCACAAACAGGUGGUGAGCCGGGGCAUCAGCCAUUAGUUGCAAAUCAUUUGGAGAAUUUUUGUAGUGGGAGGCAACAUAUAGAGCCAUCAUCCGCUGCAAGUAUUAGAAUAUGUAAGUUCACUAAUAUGAAAAUGAGAAUCACUAGUCUGACAUUACUUGAACAUGUAAUUACCUGUAAGAACAACUCGCUAUCUUUAUGAUAUGAAAAAAGCGUAUCACAGUUUACGUAGUACAGAUCGCACUCACUGGGUGCAGGUAACCUAGCCGCCAAGAGAGAGAGAAGAGAGAGAGAGAUCAUUAAUAAAGGUAAGGGUUAUAAUGGAGAUGGUUACAUCUUCCUCGGUUCUGACUGUCUAAGCAAAUGUUUUUACCCGUUAAGUUUAGGGAUAUAAUUUGUGAUAUCCAAGCAAAGUAAACCAUGAAGCCAGGAUUCAAUCGGAUCACCAGAAGCAUAUCUGAUAGAUUCUUUCAAUUCUAUCUUUUUGAAAAGACGACCUACAAUCAGGGACAUUUAUCAAUUCAGAAAAUUAUGUCCAAAUAUCACAAAAUAGUUUUUAAAAAAUUAUACAUUGCUCACUUGCAAGCGCCAACAGUUCAAGUAUUUCAGAAACAAUAAUGUUAAGAGAAAGCAGAAGAAACAUUGAAUUUUGAAAAUAAAUUCAAGUUUUGGGGGGAAAGGGGGAUUUUGAUCCAACCUAAUUCAAGAUGAGAAUACAAAACACGGCCAAUAAGGAAUAAGCAUACCAGAUGUAGGCCCCUUAGCAGACACUUGGCUUUGCUCUUCCAAUUGCUGUAGAAGUUUUAGGGACAAAGACCGACCAGUACCUUCAUAGCUUUCAGUGUAAAAUAAAUGUCCUUUAGUAUUUAAAUUGCACUUAGAUUUUUUUUUUUUUACCAAAAGUUGAAUUCAGAGUUGACUUAUAAAUAGAAAGACAUCAAGCAUGAGUCAAGGAAAAGUGGAAACAGCCCAUGAAAAGUGAAAGAUCUUUCAUUCCCCCCCGCGGCCGUAACAGAAAGUGAAAAAGUGAAGUGAAAUAUGUUUCAUGAGACUGUUAAAACCAAAAAAGAACACAUGAUAAGAAUACACGACAUGAAGGAAGAAGAACAUGGAUGAAUCUUACCCAUUAACAGUAGAUGAAAGGAAGACCAGAUAAGGACCAAGCAAAGACUUCACUACUGGUAGUGGAAUAGCAGCUGCUUCAUCAACAACCAACAGUUCAACUUGGGAAAGCUUUUCAUGCUCAUGUGGCCGUAUAUACUGCAAGUACAAGUAACAAAAGUAAAAAACAAAUAGCCCCAAAAGCAAUGAGCAGUACAAAGUUCUUUCUUUUAGGCUACAUGAGGUGUAAAGGUCUAGACCACCUCACAAUCUCACAGGCAUGUUGAGUGCCUCUAUACCAUACAUACUGGAUUAGUGCCAGGAAGACACAUUAGGUUGACCAAAAAGUUUGGCGUUUCAGGAACAUGCUUUUAGAAGCAAGCUUCAGUAAUCACAAACCAUCUAAAUUAUGUUCAAUAUGCUCACACCAAUAACAAAAAUGAUGCACUUGGGCAAAAGUACAAUAGAAUUUUUGGAGUAGUCAAACAAAGACAACCACUAAUCAUAUAUGAGGGCAUACGACAUUUGAUGGGCAAAAGGUGAACACACUCAUGGCUAUUGUGAUGCGGCUAUCCAAUAGAAGAAUAUUCUCUAUUACAACUUGGUUAUCAACUUUUCAUGAGUAACAAUUCCUCCAUGUAUUUGUAUUUUGGUAUCAACUGACUAAACAAAAUCUUUAUUGCUAUUUUUUUAUAGAAAACGAGAUUUUAUUAAACAGCUAAAAAACAAUACAACACUUAGUGGACUAGGAAGUCCACCAUCAAAACGAAACAGCCCUGACAUAUGCCUCAACAUUCACCUCCAUCAUUAUAAAACAGAUCUGCAACUAUCUCACUGCAACUCCCCAAUCCAACAAAAUUACAUAAAAUGAAAGAUCCCAAAACCUUGGAGAGAGAGAAGCCAUAAGAAUGCCCAAUUCUUUCCCAAGAAUUCUCUUGUAAAUCCCCACUCUAAUUUUCAAAGGUUGCAAACUUGAAAUUAACAUAGAAGGUAACUGGCUUCAGAGUCAACUAGGAUAAUACUGGGCAUAUAUGCAGAGAGUAGGCAUAGUAGCAACUUUCAGGGUAUGGAAUAAUACAAAAGGAAAGGGAAGACCACAGAAUUCUCUCAGUCAUCUUAACUUGAUUUGGUACUAAGAAUAAGUUAUGUAUACACUUCCCACUGGCCCAUCUGUACGUUAAUAUAGAAAUAGAUUAUAUCCUGGCAACAAGGAAGUGAAAUACUCCUAUUUUUAUAUCAAUAUUGGGCACAAAUUAAGAGUUCAUCAAUAUAAUUUUACCUCAAUUGUAACCAACUGUGCAUAUAAGUUUACCUGAAUUGUUUGUCUGUGCUGCUUGUAUAUAUUGAUCUGUACAGUUGCUUUCUUCAACAAAGGGUCACUACUUUUCUGUACAUCAUAAUCUAUAUGUUCCUGCAAACAUAGUUUACAACUGUAAGCUCAAUAACUAGUGCACUGUUCGAAGUACAUGAUUGAAAAAUGAAGAAAACGGAGUGACCUUAUAACAAUUAAUGAAAGAUAAAAUGUAGUUCACAGAAUAAAACAUUCAAACACCACCAUCUUGAUAGUUAAACAAUUUCACUGUAAAAGCUAUUAAACUUAGCAGGAAAAAAAAUUUAAACUUUAUCUAACAUUUGAAUCUACAAUUUUCAAUUAGCAACUCUUGUCACAAAUGUUUAUUAGUGGGGUACGUUCUAAGAUAUUGUUAUUUGCUAAUUGUCGAGGAUUAUUUGGGAGUUAAAUCUCACAAGAAGGCGUAAAGAUCACAUUAGAAUUAGAUAUUUUACUAGGAAGCUAAAGAUCACAUUAGAACCACCCGCAGGAAUACAAAAAAACGACAUACCUUAUAGUCCAGUUGAUCAAAACCCUUGCAAACAAAUUCGAACAAGGUUCUUAAGUUCUCAGGGCUGGGUGCAGUUACAAAUAUAUUUGAAUACCUGUGAAGAUAUAUUUGUAUCGUCAAAACAUAGUACAUGAAUAUGAGUGUAGACAGCUACACAUACACCAAAACAGUUUUAAUACAUUGUAAAAGGCAUACUACCCUGCAGCAAUAGCUCCGGAAAUUGCCAAACCAAGUGCAGCCGAUUUUCCACGGCCUCGAGCAGCAAGCAAGGCAACAGUACUUCGGAGUGUCUUGUCCAAGAUUGCAUCAAGAAAUGUAGCAACAGCAUUUCCCUGUUGAAACAUUUACCAACUCAAACUAUGAGUCAUAUUAGUAAAUCACACAUGAUAGAAAAACUCAAAACUAAUACAAAUCAGAGAGAGUGCCUACCUGGUCCAACGUACAACAUUUCUUUAUUAAAGGGCCAACAGGAAAGGCAUCACUCAGCUGCUCUUUUAGAUCCUUCAGUUCCCUUUGUGACUCUGAUAUCCCUUCAGAGUCCUUCAAUCAUGAUCAGAAAACAAGAAAAAAGUUAUCAAAGUUAUCAAAGCUUCACAAACUCCUAGAAAGUAUCCUAAUAACCAUUCGGUAUACACACACUUGAAAAAUUACUUUUAUUCUUUUUGUCAUCUCGCAUAAGAUGCCACGAAAAUAAAGCAUUCCUCGAUUUAUCAGUUCCGUCCUAUAGAAAAGUUACAAGGCUAAAAGGUUACCUCUUUCACUGGAACUGGGGUAAUUGACCUCAUAUGAGAUGAAAUUGGUAAAAUAUUCAGCUCAUCAUCCAUUACUACACAUGAUUUGCAUGACGCAAGUGACAAUAAGAAACGCUCGUUAAAACGUCCAGUAGCCUUAGAAUGGGAUUCAGUUCGAAACCUAUCAUGAACAUCCUGAAAUCAAGAGGCGCUGAUAAGACUGUAUGGAGAUUUUUGCAUUUGAGAGAACGAGAAAGACAGUGUUGCAAAUAAAACAUGACAUAACGGAAUUGUUAUCAAAUAUAAUAUGUGGUGCAUGGCUAUUGCUAUAUUCGUUCUAAGUCCAUAAUGUAGUAAAACUAGAAACUACCUCAACAAGAAGAACAAAUAUUAUGAGGAAACCUAGUUGUUUUUUCUUCUUCUUUUUGGGGCUAGAACAUGAAAAGAAACAACUAGUCUACAUAGGCCCAACUGGGAAACUUAUAUGUUCAGCAGCAUUCUCUUAAAGAAAGUCAAGCAAUUGAAUCUACCAAAAGUCUUCUUGUAGCCAAGCACAUCAUUACGAAAAAAUUCGGAAACUUUUAACAUGGCUAGUUUUCAAGAUUUUGCGGUAUAUAAUAAGCAUAACCAUGCUGGCCUAAAAACUAAGCAUUAAUUGUGUGCAUGCGUAAGAGAAAGAGGUAUUAUUAUAUGCAUACCAUAACCAUGGUGUAGAGGUUGGUGAGUGAGGUUAGAGAAUGAAGCAACAAUAUGACUAGUCCACCUCCCUCCACUGUCUCUAUCGUUCUUGCUAGUAGAUUUGGAGUCAAGGCCUCAAAAUCCUAAUGCAGGAGAUCAAACUUAGUCAUAAAACUUAAAUCAAUUAUACAAGGGGUCUUGGCCAAACCAGUAAAUUUGUAAGUUUCAAGUUACCUGAAGUAUACACAUUCCAAAGGUAUUACCAAGAACUCUUUCUGAAUCCUUGUACAAGCAAUAAGUCAAUCCCCCACUUUCAACAAAAAGUGAGAAAGGAUCAACCUUCUCGGGAUCAAGCAGCCCCCUCUGCAUCAUCUUUUUUACUUGCUUAGCACGUUUUUUCUUGUGACUGCAUCAUGAAGUAGUCAAACGCAACGAAUCAAUAUAUUUUAAAAACGAAAUUCCGCCUUGCCUUAUAAUAAGGUGAAGAAUGGAAGGUAGAAGAAAUCAACCUGCUGAGCUCGAGCUUGUCCUUGUAGCACCACAACACAGUCGGGCGCGAUUUCUUUACUUCAUUGCUUAGCAUAUAAUGAAGAUUCACAAUCUGAAGACCAUAUAAAACUCCAUAUUAGCCAUUUUCCGUUAGUUUUCGAUAGAUUUUCGAUGAUAUUUCUUACCUUGUUUGAGGUUUUUAGUGUUACUCGGUGAGUAUUGCAGGUGAAAACAAGAAACAGUAAAACUGGUAAAAUUUUCUACCCAAUUCAAUUUAAAUCAUUGUUAUAACUCCUCAAAUUGAAUAGGAAUAGCAAAUAGGGAAUGGGAUAGGAAAGGCAGAAGAAAUUAGGAGUACCUGGUCACGGGAUUUGUCGCCGACGAUGACGAACAUGGAGCGGUGCCGGUUUUUGACGCCAUUGCUUAUUAGGGUUCGGAUUCGUUCGUCCACCUUCUUCCUCAUUCUCUCUCUCUCUUCUCUCUCUGUGCAAUUAGGUUUAGGGUUUAUACCAUAGGGCAGUUGUCGUCGUCGGGCAGGGUUUAAGCCGAACUAGUGAGAGAGAGACUAGACAUCGCGGAGAGAUAUUGAGUUCAUCUCAACCGUUGAUUGGCUAUCUGAUGGCUGUUAUCAAAGCUGACAUAAAAAUGAAAACUCAACACGUGGCCAAGUAUUUUUUUUCUCUCUUUUUUGGCUUAUUUAUUGAUUUGCCCCAGAAAUUAUUUUUUUUGUCUUACUCUAGGUCAUGAAACAGAAUUUAUCUUACUUUAUCUUCUAAAACUACCAAAAUCGAGUCAUUUCACCCAUGUUUUGUCAAUUCUAUCUCAUAAACGUUAAAUAAAAGGGAGUCUAAACAUUUCAUACCAUGCUAGCAAAGAUGAGCCACUGUUGUUGGUGAGGUACGAAAUUUUCAAACUUUCCUAAACCUUUAAAACUUAAAAGGUAUCUUGAAUAUGAACGUAAAUGAGGUAAAGUUGCUCAAUUUUGGCAAUUUAUGAAGGGUAAAAUGAGACAAAUUCAAUUUAAGGCUAAAGUGAGAGUAAAUGGCAGUUUCAUGAGAUAUAUCAAUAAAUAAAUCUUUUCUAGAAUACAACUAAAUUAUGUACUCACGGUAAAAGAUAAAUUAAUAUCGAACUUGUCAUUGACGAUAUCUAAACAUAAAACCUUUCAAGUUUUUACCUAUAAGAAUAAAUUUGGUAUAGUAAUUUCUUUUCUAAUUUAAAGUUUCCCAUAGAGUUAUGACGAAUUUGAUACCAAAUUAGGCUGUCAUUGUGUGGCAUAGCCGAAUUCCUCCUCCCUUACUUUAAAAAUAACGAUGUACUCAAAAAAAGUUUCCCAUAGAGUUAAAAUGAUCUUUAGUUGCUUGCUGAGACAACCCAUAUGUAUAAUAAGACAUUGAAAAAGGUGCCUCUGUCAUUUACACUCACACGAUCGAAUAAGUAGCUCCGACAGUUGCAUCAUAAAAUUAAGGGGUUUUCCGAGAUUGUAGUAAGGUUGACGAUUAAAGUUUGGGAAAUUUUCAGGUUAAGGAAUCAAGGGAUCACAUUUUCAAGUUUCGUAGGCAUUCUCUUUCCUUUGGAAUGGUGUUGGAAUCCGUCCUGAAGUUGCCCAUUCCUUUGCUCUUGAUUUUCAGAGUUGGAUAGCUAUAAACCUUAGGACACAUUGUACCACCAUACAUGGUUUACCUUGGAACCUUAUCUUUAAUUCAACUCUCUGGCAUUGCUGGAAAUGGAGGAAUAACUUUGUCUUCAAUGAUGGCCAACAACCGCUUGACUCACCCCAGAAUUUCAUUUUUCAAUUUGCAAGGGAAUGGUGUGAUGCGAACAAGUGUUCUUCUAGUAAGCCUCCUAGACAAAAUCAUCUCAAUCCAUUGGAUUCGUUUGCCAAUUGGUAUACAAAAUCAAUACAGAUGGGAGUUGUAAAGACCCAUUUAGCCACAUAAGUGCUGGAGGUUUGCUUCGUAAUUCUGAAGGGAAAUGGAUUAAGGGAUUUGCUGCUAAUUUGGGCAGAGGAACCAUCAUGGAAGGUGAGCUUUAAGGGUGGUUUCAUGGGACUUUCUAUAGGUUGGGAUGAGAGUUGCAAGGAAGUGAUUAUUGAAUGUGAUUCUUAUGCUGCUGUUACUUUGAUCCAACAACCUAUUUUAGUUCCCACUCUACAAUCUCAUUAUUGACUGCAAAGAAGCCAUUGAAAGAAAUUGAAGAUGUGAAGUUACUCAUAUCUAUAGAGAAAAUAAUGUCUUAGCUAAUCACACGUCUGACUUAGGUCAUGGGUUAUCACUUGGUCUUCAUGUUUUUGCUUCUCCUUCUACCAUUGCUACUAAUUUUAUAGUUUCUAAUACUAUUGGCAGGGCCCUCCCUAGAGCUGUUUUUUAGUAGCUUUUUUGUUUUGCUUGUUGGGCUUUGCCCUCUUCUGUACCCAAAAAAAAAAAAAAAAAAAAAAAUAUUGGGAAAUUUAUUUGGACCCAACUUUUUUAUCUCUACACCCAAAUAAUAUUUUCUCUUAUCUAAUCUUCCAAAUUUGUCCUUAAAUAACAAACAUUGAAGUUUUCUUUGUAUCUCUACACCCAAACCCCACGAUCCACCACUGUAGGGCGCUCCAUUAUUUCCGACAAACCCAACUCAAACGCCAGCAACACUAAAAUCGACAAAUCAAGACUGGAGAACAAAUGGUGUAGGAGUCCUAAUGUGAAUAUUAAAGCAAACUUAAGUUGCAAAACCCUUUUUUAUUUCAAUCGAUGAAAGGACCUUGGGUUAUGAACAUAAGGAACCUAUUAGGGUUUAGAGGUCCCCUCCACAUCAUAUGCAUAAGCCCUUUUUCUUCAUUCAUUAAUUUACGGAAGGGAAAAUUAAUACUAUUAUUCUCAUAAAAAGUGGGAAUACCAAGGAAAGAGAUCCUCUCCACACCAUAUAUUUUUCUUUUCUGAGUAGUUAUAUCCAAUGGAGAGAGGAAAACAAGAGCACCAAUGGUCGCAGGUUCACCGGAGAAAAUGAAGGUGCAGUGGUGAUGUGAGUUUAGGGUUAUUGGGUGUAAAGAUAACAACUUUAAUAUUUAUUUUCUCAUUUUUAUUUAUUUAAGGGCAAAUUUGAAAGUUUAGUAGAGAAAAUUUGUUAGUUGGGUGUAGAGAUAAAAAGGUUGGGUCCAACAAAAUUUCUCAUAAAGUUUAAUCACGCGAUUAAGUUCUUGUGCAAUGAGUAAAUUGUAGCAAUGACCCAUCAACUAAAAAUCCAUUAUUAUUGAUCCCUCAACUCAUCAAAAUAUGUAGUUAUGGUCAUUUUCGUCAACUUUGUAAGAAUUUUGUCAAAAUAAAUUAUGUUGGAAGGACCAUUGUUACAAUUAAGGUCCUUCAACUCAUCAAAACAUGUAGCUAUGGUCAUUUUCGUCAACUUUGUCAAAAUGAGUUAUGUUGGCAUGACCAUUAUUGCAAUUGGGUUAAAGUUGAGGAAUCAUUGCUCCAAUUGGGUUAAAGUUGAGGGAUCAUUUCUCUAGUUAGAUUAAAGUUGGGGGACCAAUGAUAAUUAAGUUUUAGUUAAGGGAUCAUAGUUGCACGUUUUGAUGAGUUGAGAGAUCAAUGAUAAUGAAUUUUUAGUUAAUGGAUCAUUACUCCAAUUGAGUUAAAAAUAAAGGACCAUUGCUACAAUUUACUCUUGUGCAAUAGAAGAUUAAUUUGGCCGAACAACCUGAUUAAGGUGCCUACUUUCUCUUUAAUUCAUUGGUAUCAUUUAUUUUCCCUUAAGCUGAAUUAUGCUCAAUUUAUGUAUCAAUAUUGUAAAGUUGUCUUUGUUAGAGUAAUUUGGACAAUAUAAAUUGAAAAUUAUUUGUGUAUAUGGAAAAGAUUAACCUCAGGGGUCACUUCGCCGGACUCCGUAGCAAUCUCCACCACUCCAAUCGUAAUGGUGAGUAAAUCACUUGUGUUUGUUUCCAUUUUUUCAAUUGGAAAUUGGGGGUUUUGAAUUCAUAUUUUGUCAAUUGGUUUUGUGAGCACUGAGAAUACACUACGAGCUUGUGUGUGUGUACAAUAUGUUGGAUUUGAUCUUUAUAAAGAAUGCGAGAAAUUGGGGUUAGGAAAGAGAAGAAAAGGAAACAGAACUCGAACUUCGAUCUUCAUUCUUGUUACUAAAGGAGAAAACCGAAUUUGAACCGGUUCAUACGUAAUCGAACCGAAUUUGUAUAGUUCGGUUCACCCCUUAGUACCGAACCGUACCAUACCAAAAAAAAUUUCUUGAGUUUGGUUUUGAUACAUCCCUCAUACUGUACCAUACCAAAUCGUGGCCAGACCUACUGAAUACAAAACUUAUAUCUGGGUCGUAAGUCGUAAGGCCUCCAAAAAAAAAGUUCAUAUUAUUCAUACCAAUCGGACAAAUCCCGCACCCAAAAACAAUGGCUAGAUAGAAAGUUCAAUUAUAGAUUAGGUAAUCUAUCCUUUUCAACUUAAAUGCACAUUCAUGAUGGUUAUGCAAAUCAUAUUAUGUUAACAAAUGCAACAAUUAAUUAUAUUUAUCCAUUUGGAAUGAUAUAUAUUUUCAAAGAUGGAAUUACAGACCCCGUUGACGUUGAGGCCAUUGCAUGAGAGAAUUUUAGAUGAUUUUCAAUUAAUUUAUAUUAUUGUUGUGAUAACCAUAAUAAUUAUUUUCUAAAUGUAAAACUAUAUUAAUGAAAUUUUCUUUGUCGGUCAAAAGAAGAUGAAAAGAUAUCUUUAUCUUCUAUCACAACAAAAAAAUUAAGGAUAUUAAUGUAAUAGGCUAAUAGCGAUGGGGUGAAGAAAUGGAACUAUCCUAAAUAGGCAGUUGCUGGUUAUAUUGGAUCAGGUGGUCUGAAUGAUUGGAUAAUUAGCAAAUAAAAAGGUUCCAUUUUUCAUGGACCCUCAAGUGGAAAUAUGGGAUAAAAGAUGGCAUAUACCAUUUUAUCCAUUUGUGAUUGUACAUUUUGAUGGUUGUGAUUUCACCCGAUGGCGCGGCAAGUGUGGAUUGGGAUAAGGAUGGUUUUGGUCUAUCAUCAAAGAUGGUUUGAUGUUCACGACUGGAUUUUACAACGCAUCCAAGUGCAUGGGUUCUAUAAAUACAGAGUUGCGCACAAUAAAAAAGUACAAAGGACCUUCAAACCUUUCACACACUCUGAGAAACUCCUGAUUCUCCCAACUUCGUCAACACAUCUUCAAUUUGGAUUAACAUCACUGUUUGUCAGUGAGGAGUCCUUAGUCUUCUCGUCUCAUUAGCCCUCUAGGUGAAGUGAGGUGUUACUGAAUUACUUGAGUAUUCAGCACAUUGAAAGUCGAACCUUAUUUGAACUUCACAGUAGUUAGCAAUCUUAUCUUCAGGUUUUAGAACCCAAUGCCAAGACAUAUUCCUUCCUCGACAGUGAUGGUUUGUACACAAAAGUUGGUUUGUACACAUAAGUCAGUAUUGUGUUUGACACACCAUCCCAUUCAUUCUACUAGCCCACAAACGCGUGGACUCGUCCAAAAUUACCCCACUCUCGGCCCGUUCACUUGCCCACUCGUCCCACGCGGCCCGUGAGUCUUCAGUGCCUGAUAGGGGGGCCUACUGUUAGGGCCGUUGUUGGCCACAACCCAGAGCCCAACGAUUUUUUUUUGCAUCCCACGACUGGCAUUUUUGGACCGUUGGUUGAUCCAACGGUCCAGAUUCAAAUUUUGUUUUUUUAAAUGUUAUUUUAAAAUACAUUGAAUCCAACGGCUGAGAUCGAAUAUAAUCAAAUCUAACGGUAAAAUAAAAAAAGAUAAAAAAAGAUAUAACAGUCCAAAUUUAAAUCCAACAGCUAAAAUAAUUUUAAAAAAAAUUAUUUAACUCAAAAUUCACCCAAAAACUCUAUAAAUACCUUUGUAUUUGUUCAAACAUCCACACAAAACUCAAUUUUCUCCCACAAUUCUUCCAUUUUUUCUUUCUACCAUUUCUUUCCAUUUCCAAAUUGUUCAACACGAUCCUUGAAUUGGCCAUCCCAAGCAGUAAGACAAUUCUUCCACUCCCAAAGCAUACAAUCGAGACUUCCUAUCAUGUCAGGAAAGCCUAUUUUGUCUGCUUUGAGUAGAAUGUGACGACAUGUCCCGAAUUAUUAUAUAUUUUUCUCCCUAAGUGUGUAAAGUGACGGUAAUGCCCUCGUGAUUUAGUGACGUGGAUGUACAUAUGUAGUUUUAAAUUAUUAUUUCUAUUGUCGUAGUUAAAUUGUACUCGACGCCAUGAGUGUGUUGAUGUGACCUAGGGCUAAAACAAAUUCGUAACGAAGAAGUUACGAACAGACGAGUGUGUAAAUGCGUAGAAAUAUAUUUUUAUGGGUUGGCUAUACCUUACCCACCAAUCACCUUAAUUCCUGAUUUCUUUGGCCUAAUUGAAUUAAAAAUAUCUCUCAUUUUUCCUUCUGCCCAAUCACGCACAUACACACCAUCACUCUCUCUCUUCUCUCGGACCUUCUUCUUCUUUCUUCUCAUUCCGUACACCCGAGCCACCCUUACCUCACAAUCAUCAUCAAAACAUUAUGGAUCGAAUUGGAAAUCACUACCAUCGCAGUCACCUCGAUCCCACGAACUCAUUGAUACCCUUAGGUCGAGGAAUAGACGUCGGGAAUUCGAGAACUCGGGAGCUCUGGCGAGGUGUAUUUUUCUACUUUGUGAUCGUGGUCUUUUUCUAUGGUUUAAAGGCUUGAGGUGGGUCCUAAUCAACUUUAUAGGGACCCUAGAUUAGUUUUGGAGCAGUUUGAACGUUGGAAUAGGUGAGAACAUGGAGUUGCAGGUUGGCCGGUUGAUCCAAGCCUUACUCCGACCACUUUCUGUCGGUUUUAGAACCUCAAGUAGGUAAGAUUGUAUUCUUCUAGUUGAGAGUUUCAAAUCCAUAUAAAAUUCAUGGAAUUUGGUUGAAAAAUGAUGAAGAUAUUAAAGUUUUAAGAUUUUUCCAAAAAUCAGCGACACAAACGGCGCCCGACGGCCAGCGAUGGAUUCCGACAAAGCCAUCGGAGAAGGAGGAGAAUAUUAUGUCUAACUUUGACAGAAUAUACUAACAGCGUCAGGUAACUCUAUUAGUUUUUAAACAAAAUAUUCUACUAUUUAAUGAAAUAUUCCCUAACGCCGUUAGGGAUUCCGUGCCUGCACGUGCCGGCUUAUGAGGGCGCGUGAGACGUCAGGAAAUUAAUCUAAAAAUAUUGGGGUGUUCGAGUUGUUGAGUAGGUCAUGUUGGUAUAUUCAAACACCCUAUUUGAGCAACGUAUGAGAAGUUAUUCCUAGGGUUUGUGUAUGUGCCUUAAAAUUAAUGUAAAAUUAGUUAUUUCGCAUAUAGGUGAGACUUACCCGGAGGACAAACGUGGUCAAACGAGACUUGGGGGCUACGAUCCUACUACUUACCAGUGAGCGGGCUUUUUUUUUCUAUAUAUAUGUAAAUAUGCUUAUGAAUCCCAUAAACUACUUUAAAUGAACGUAUGUUUUAAAUGCCAUGUCGUGUGCAUUAUGUGUUAGUAUUGCAUUAGUAUAGCUAUGCAUAGUAUUGGAUGAGACUGCGCAGACUCAGGUAAGUUUCAGGUGAGUACAUCAUGAUGGUAUUGGGUGCGUGUGUGUGGUUAUACGUUGAUGCAUUUUGAGCUUAUUAUCCUGCACAUUGGUGUUAGUGUUCUCGCCCAUGGCCAGGGCAUAGUUUUUCACAUGAUGUUCACCUCCUGGGCCGCACGCUCACUUUGGAUCCAAGUUUGGUGCACAGCCAUAUUGCACAGACCACAAUAGGUGGUUCCGACUCGUAGGUGACCUGCAAUUAUUUGCACAGCCUUCACGUGAUCGUAGCACUUAAGCGUACUUAUCUACACCCAGCCCUGUUGUACAGACCACAAUAGGUGGUUCCGACUUAUGUGCAUGCAUACUUGAUGAGCUAUAGAUUCAAUUGUACAGGUUACAUUAGGUGACUCCGGUUGGCAUACUAUUUUAGGUUGAUUCGUAUCACCUGGCUUACACAUUUUAUGGUUGAACAUCUUGACAUGGCAUACCUCUGUUUUCACUGCUCUAAGCAUUAUCCUUAUGUACCUAGUUGUUAUUAUUUUCUGGAAAAUUAUAUGGGUUUACAGUGAGGGGUUAGUAUGUUCAUAAAGACAACUGUGUUUUCAAAAACUUUGUUUUUGCCUACUCACAUUUUUUGUUUUGCACCCUUUCAGGUUCUAGGUAGUUGGUCAUCCUUGGUGGCUCACGAGGACUUUCACGGCGGUUCUGACAUCUCUGUAAAUAAGUAGGGAUUUUUUUCCCUGUUUGUAUAAUUAGUACUUAGUUGGUUCGAUUGCACUUUCGUUUACCCAUGCUCUGAUAUUUGUAUAACUUGCUUGGUCAUCUUUACUCACUUAUAUUAUCUUAGUUUAGAUAAGUUUGGUUUUAGGUUUUUAUUUAUUCGCAUUUCUUUUAUUAUUACUUCUGUUGCGCAUUUUGGCUACGUUACUCUUACGUGACGGGCAUCAUGUUUCGACUUCGGUUGGGGUGUGUCAUAAAAGCCUCUUCAAGUCUUCAUGAUUUGGCUUGCAGAGAUAUGUGGCUCCAUAUGUGGCCUGAAUUGCCCCACAGAAGCGCUCCAGGUUUUUAAUAGCAGUAGUCUCCGCAAGUCGGCAAUACUCAUCAGUUGAGUUUGCAGAGCACUCAUUAGCUAGCAUCCGAAAUGCAGAUGUGAGCUUCUGAUGAGGUGAUAGACUUUGUCGGCCUACGACAUUUAUCUUCCUUGCAAAGUAGUGGUCAUGAUUGACAACUGUGUUCAAGAUGCUUUCAAAAAUCUCUCUCCUCAUUCGAAACCGUCUCCGAAAAUCAUGAGCAGGAAAUCUCGGACGCUCAAUAAAAUAAUAUUUCAUCAUUCGGUCAUGACACUCUUCUCUAUCACGUUGCACAAAUGAACGCUUCGUGACAUAACCACAAUAGCUAGAUUCGACAUGGUGCUCAUAUUGCAUAAGCGAGUUUGGAAGUUUAGCUUAUGCGUUGAUCAUUUUUGAAUCCUCAAUGUCAAGGCUUGCUUGGUAUUAUGUCAUUUGCAUUGCCCUGCUACACCUUCUUCUAUCAUCCAUUGUUGAUAUAUUGAGGAUUUUUAUGAAACAAAAACACUUUGAAAGUUGAAAGAUUAGUGAAUAUAGGGAAUGAUUGAAGGUUGAAAGAUUGUGUGACCAACUGAUAUUGAACAUGUGUUUAUAUAGAGGAUGAUUGAUGAAAGUUGAAAGUUUGGUGAAAGUUGAACGGUUGGUGAAAGUUGAAGAUUUGUGAAAGUUAAAGACUUGCUUUGUGGAAAGAUUUAGUGAUUUUUUCAAUAUUUAUUGGAAUUUAAAUAUUUUUAUAUUAAAAUGUUCAUAAAAUUAAUUUACCAUAGGCUACAUAAUUUUUUUUAAAAGUUAAUUUAAGAAAAAAAAUUAGCCUAAGUUCAUUCUUUAAUAAUCCCGAACUAAAAUUUUAGGCUAGGGUUGGAGCAGAAAAACUGUUUCUGUGUUAAAAGCUAAAUUUUUUAGAUUAAAAAUUUUAAAUUUUAACCCAAAGGUUGGAGAUGAUUUAAGAAUGGAUAAACUUAACCAAGAAAAGAAGAAAAAAGAUGAAGGGCAAAUAAGUGAGAAGCAACAUGACACGACACACGGACGACCAUAGCAAUAAAGCGUGCGUCCUCACGUCCAUUGAAUAUAUAGAUGGGAGCUACAACAUCGUGUUUCACGUGCAUGUGUAUUAUACAUAAAGGCAUAUACAGUGUUAGCUUAUAUAUUAUAAAGUUUGUAGGCCACUUACCCAAUUUGGCAUAUGUUUUAUCUUUUUACGUGAAUAACCAAUGUGUUAUGAUGAUACAAGUCUCUUAACAUAUCCGGAGUUAGAAAUAUCAUAAGACAGUGUUGCGAUCAUAUUGAAAUUAAUUGACAGUUUGUAUUAUAUAUUUGAUUAUUCUUUAUUAACUUAAGGAGACAGCAUACUUAGACCUAAUUUAGUCACAUUCUCCAACCGAAAAUAAAGCGGUGUAGUAUUCAUACACUUUUUUUUAUUUCUUACACAGUCUUAAUUAAUUUCUAUUGUUUGAUCUUCUUCAAUUCAUUCGAUCUGACGACCGAAAAUUAAGAUGGUGUGUGGACGAGUAAAUUAUAACAAUGGUCCCUCAACUUUAAUCAAAUUGGAGCAAGGGUGCUCAACUAAAAAUCCAUUACCAUUGGUUCCUCAACUCAUCAAAAUGUGUAGCUAUGGUCAUUUUCGUCAACUUCGUUACAAUUUUGUCAAAAUAAGUUAUAUUGGAAUGACUAUUGCUACAAUUGGGGUCCCUCAACUCAUCAAAACGUGUAGCUAUGGUCAUUUUCAUCAAUUUCGUUAGAAUUUUAUCAAAAUGAGUUUUGUUGGAAUGACCAUUGCUACAAUUGAAUUAAAGUUGAGGGACUAUUAUUUCAAUUGAGUUAAAGUUGAAAGAUCAUUUCUUCAGUUGUAUUAAAGUUGAAGGAUCAAUGGUAAUGAAUUUUUAGUUGAGGGGACUAUAGCUGCACGUUUUAAUGAGUUGAGAGAACAAUAAUAAUGAAUUUUUAGUUGAAAAACUAUUACUUCAAUUGAGUUAAAAUUAAGAAACAAUUGCUACAAUUUUUUUAUAUGGAAAGUGGAUGAUGUGAAUAGCACAUCCAAAAAUAAAAGGGAACUUUAACGAAAAGCACCCGGUACUGUUCACUUUAACGAAAAACCACAUUUUUACACUAAAAAGUCAAUCCUGGUACUAUUCACUUUACCCUUUAUUUUGUCCUUAUCAUUAAAACUCAAAGUUUUCAAGCCCUUUUCAUUAGUUUUCCUAAAAUAAAAUGCACCACAAUUUGGUAGGAUCUUCCUGUUGAGAGUAAUAAAUUAAUAAUUGCCGAAAUAUUGGAUAAUUUGUCGGCCACAACGCUAUGAGGGAGUAUCUGGGGAUGAAUAUACUCUUGCCGACAGAUGCCCAAAUUCCAACUGCCAUUCAAAUGAGCCCUCCACCACCACCGGCCAUAAUAAAUUCUCUUUCUUUAGUGAAGAAGAAAAAGAGGUACUUGGCCCUCACCUCAACUUUUUGAGAAAGAACAAGUUUAUCGCUAUCAGAAUGUUUCGGUCAAUUAUAUAAGUUAUGUGUAAAUUUUUCUUUAGAUAACAUUACAUUAUUAUAUUUAAAAUGUUCCGUAACGAUAAAUUUGUUUCAUACAAAUUAUUCUCCAACUUCUUGGAUUUUUCUCCUUUUUCCCGAAAACCAGCUUAUAUUAGUGUUCAUCCUCUGUCAAUAUCACUCGCCCACAACUAUUCAACUAACUUUUAAUAAUUUGACAACGUGUCAUAUUUUUGUGCAAAGCGGGCCCAUUUUUGUGGGUGAUAUAAUAAUGGCGUAUGUGGUUUGUCAAGACAUAUACUCAUUUAUCCAUUAGCAGUUAGGUAAGUCACCUCACUCACCCACAGCCUAACACAUCAACAAAUAUUGCUUACAAAUUCUAGAAAAUUCGACCAAGAAAAAAAACCAAAUGCUCGCAAAUUAAAAUUGUGUAACAUGAUUAGUUUUUUAUCCAUUAGUAUUAAUUUUACGUUGGAAGAAAUUCCAAAUUUAUUCUUGUAAAGAGGGAUAUGAAAAUACUUUGUAUGUCUAUCACCAAAAUCUUCGAAUGUUUGAAUGGUUGAUUUUCAAGUCUCACACAAUUGGAUUUAGUUCAAGUGAGAAAGAAAUACACUCAAACUAUUAGAUAUGAGGAAUGAAAAUACACUACAAAAUCUUGUGAACAUUUCUAAUAUUCUCUUCUAUCUACUUUUUGUGAACCAAGUUUUUAUUUGUUUUUUUUUUUAACAAAAGAUAUUUUUUAUACUAGGGAAAUAAGGUGGGUUUAGCCUCAUAAUGGGCUAACAUAAUCUAGUUCAAACUUGCAUUUGGUGAGAAUCGAACCUAAAAUCUCUCACUUACAAGUGAAGAGGAAUACCAUUAGAAGUGUCAUGAAAUUAGCAGUCUUAUAUGUAAAAAAUUGAUUGACUAAAUGCUGUGUUAAAAAACAAGAUUAAUACUUGCAUCUCCCCACUUGGAAAAUGCAAAUAUUUCAUUUCUUGCAAAUAACGUAUAUCAUGCGUUCUGUUCAAUCGCAUAUUCAAAAAUGUUAAAAACAAGAUUAAUAUUUCUAUCUCCCCACUUGGAAAAUGCAGUAUUUCAUUUUUUACGAAUAACGUAUAUCCUGUGUUCCGUCCAAUCGCGUAUUAAAAAAAUGUGUGAAGUUUGGAUUAACUACACUCUUUGAGAAUUUCCUUAAAUAACCACUUUUUGAAAAUUUCUUAUAGGACUAAGUGAGUCUCCGCUGAGAAUUUCCUUAACUAACACAACACUACUUGAGUGAUAAUUUGUUAUAUCUUGAAUAGAGAAUAAAUCAGUUCCCUACUUUUGAAGGUACUAUUAACUUACACUAUAUUUGAAUGAGAACAAUAAACUUAGAAUUUAGAUGAAGGAAAUAAAACAGUUUCCUACUUUUGAAGGUACUACUCGAGUGAUAAUUUGUUAUAUCUUGAUAACGUGUCAUAUUUUUUUGCUAAGCGGACCCAUUUUUGUGGGGUGGUAUAAUAAUGGCGUUUGUUGUUUGUCAAGGGCAUAUACCCAUUUAUCCAUUAGCAGUUAGGUCACCUCACUCACCCACAACCUAGUACAUCAACAAAUAUUGCUUACAAAUUCUAGAAAAUUCAACCAAGAGAAAGAAAACCAAAUGCUCGCAAAUUAAUCUGUGUAACAUUAGUUUUUAUCCAUUAGUAUUUAUUUUACAUUGGAAGAAAUUCCAAAUUUAAUCUCGUAAAGAGGGAUAUGAAAAUACUUUGUAUAUCUAUUAUCAAAAUCUUUGAAUGUUUGAAUGAUUGAUCAUCAAGUCUCACACGAUUGAAUUUAGUUCAAGUGAGGAAGAAAUACACACAAACUAUUAUAUAUGAGGAUUGAAAAAUACACUACAAAAUCUUGUGAUAACAUUUCUAAUAUUCCUUUCUAUCUACAUUUUGUGAUAAGUUUUUUUUUUCCUUUUUUGAACAAACUAUAUUUAUCUACAUUAAGGGAGAGGAGGUGAUCUUAGCCUCACAAUGGGCUAGCAUAAUGUGGUUCAAAUUCGCCUUUGGCGAUAAUCGAACCUAAAACUUAUCAUUUACAAGUAAAUAGGAAUACCACUAGAUGGAUCAUGAAAUUAGCAGUCUUAUAGGUAAAAAAAAAUUGAUCGACUAAAUGAUGUGUUAAAAAACAAGAUUAAUACUUGCAUCUCUCCACUUGAAAAAUGUAGAUAUUUCUGUGAACACGGAAAAUUCCUGAAACGAAAGAGACAAGAACAACGUGCACAAAAUAAUAUUUUGGUGUUAAUGGAUUUGUUGGGUUACGAUCUCUUUUAACUUGAUCCUCUGAUUCGAUCUCCGUAAGGUGUUGAUUUAUGGAUGUUUCGUUGAUCCAAGGGCUGUUGAGGCUUGAUCUUAGAUGAACUGUUGGAAGUUUCUUCAAGGGGCCGUGGGCUUGAUCUUUGAAGGUGGAUUUGAGCGGAUCUUCAAGGAGCCGUUGGGGCUUGAUCUUGAGGAUGAGUGUUUCUUCAAGGGCCGUUAAGGCUUGAUCUUGAAUAACGGUGAUGAACGGAUCUUCAAGGGCUUUUGGGCUUGAUCUUGAAGAACGGUUGGAUGUGUGGAUUUGUUGAUGUUGUUGAUCCAAGGGCCGUCGGAGCUUGAUCUUGGAAGAACGAUGAACGAAGAACGAAGAACACUUUCUUCAAAGGCCGUCGGGGCUUGAUCUUGAAUUGGUGAUUGUUGAUCCAAGGGCCGUCGGGGCUUGAUCUUGGAAGAACGAUGAACGAAGAACGAAGAACACUUUCUUCAAGGGCUGUCGGGGCUUGAUCUUGAAUUGGUGAUUGUUAAUCCAAGGGCCGUCGGGGCUUGAUCUUGAUUCUUCGGGAUGAACGGAUGAUGAACAAUGAACACUUUCUUCAAGGGCCGUCGGGGCUUGAUCUUGAAUUGGUGGAAGUUCUUCAAGGGCCUUUGGGGCUUGAUCUUGAAGGUGGAUGAUUGUUGAUCCAAGGGCCGUCGGGGCUUGAUCUUGGGAUGAACAGUUGUGUGGAUUUGUUGAACACUUUCUUCAAGGGCCGUCGAUGCUUGAUCUUGAAUUGGUGGAAGUUCUUCAAGGGCCGUUGGGGCUUGAUCUUGAAGGAGGAUUUGACGAAGAACGAAGAGGGCUUUCUUGAUCCUUCGGGAUUUGCUUGAAUUUGGGAGGUUGGAUGCUUGAAAGCUUUAGAGUUUCAAAGCUUCAAGGAUUUUGGAUGUGUGGGGAGUAUUCUCUUCCAUUUUGGGAGUAGAGAAAUGUAUUUGUGAAUUGGUUUUUGAUACCUUGAUGUAGAAGCCUAUUUAUAGGCUUUGAGAAUGAAUCACCACCACAAAAUAUUUUUUUUCUUUUCCAAGCACCAUUGCCUAAUUUCCCACUUAAUACAAUUUUAAACUUGAAGUGGUAAUUUUAUGGCCUAAUUUUCCACUUAAUAUCAUUUUAAACUUGAUAUGUGCAUGCUUUGUCAUUGCCCAAAAUGAGAAGAAAACCUUGUUUUGAUCUUCAAUGAAUUGAAAUGUGCUUGCCUUGUCAUUGCCCAAAAUGAGAAGAAAAACUUGUGUAAUCCUUCAAGGGUAUUUCUUUUUAUUUUGUUGAGUCGCACACCAUGUGUACAAUUUGUAUGACACGUGGCAUAUGCCAUGUACGCCUUGACACGUCAAAAUUUUAAUGCGUUGGUGAACAUUUAUUUCACCGCAAUUUCGGUGUCUACAAAUGCCCCCACUUCAAGGUGCGUCGUAUACAUGUGCUUGUCACGUGUAGGAGAUGCGUUUUGAAGUCCCUUACUGUAGAUGUCAAUCCAAUGGCCAUCGAGGCUUGAUCUUGAAUUGGGCUGGAGAUUUCUUCAAGGGCCGUUGAGGCUUGUUCUUGGACUUUGUUUGAAAUUUCUUCAAGGGCCAUCGAGGCUUGAUCUUGAAGGUUGAAAUUGGACCACAAGGAGCUUCAUGUGGUAGAUGAUCUUUGGCUUUGGUAGUGGAUGAAUCGGCACGUAUUUGUUUUUGCGCUUUGUUGACUUUCCACAGCUUUGAUCUUGAACUGGGUUGGAGGAUUUUUUGGAUUCCUCCAAUUGUUGAUUUUCCACAGUUUAUUCUUGAACUGGAUUUGAUUCAAAUAUGGUGGACGCUUGAUCUUGAAUCGGACUUGUGAUUUCCUCAAGGGCCGUCGAGGCUUGAUCUUGAAUUUGGCCGGAAACUUCUUCAAGGGCCGUUGAGGCUUGAUUCUUGAAGGUUGACUCGAACACAUGGCAAGCAGGCACGAGGUGAAGGUGACGACUUGUUGCUUUGUUCAAUCUUUCUAAUUCACACCUGAGCAGUUUGGUCAACGGUAUGAUCUUCAAGAUUGAUGGGCUCUUCUUCCAGUUGGUGAUUUGAUCUUUAAGGAUUUGAUUCAAGGGUGGUGAAACGGCACAUGCAGCCCACAACGCCUAGCAAGUCGACCCAAGAAUUUGAGGGUUAAAACGAGUCCUCCACCCAGAGUGAUUGCAAACCUGAUGAUAUGAGAUACUUUUGAUUUUGAAGAAGUAGCGGAUGAAUCGGCACGUGCUUUGUUGUGCUUGUCUCCACAUGCUUCAAUGUAUCAUUUUCCCUUGUCUUAUCUAUUCUUCUAGCAGAAUGUAGCAUCUUCUUAAGUUCUUCAACUCAGACUCCUUCUGCUGAGCUGACUGUGCAGGCUGCAUUAUUCUCUGCUUGUUUCUUUAGGCAGAUGUGGCAGCUUCUUGAGUUCCUCAGCUCGGACUCCUUCUGCUGAGCUGAUUGUGAAGACUGCAUUCUUAUCUGCUUGUUUCUUCUGUACGUUGUCUCCACAUGCUGCAAGGUAUCAUUUUCAAUUGCCUUAUUUGUUUUCCAGGCAAAUGUGGCAUCCGAGUUUGAGUGGAGGUUCUGGCAUAUUGUUUUCUUUAUCCUUGUCUUUGUAGGUAAGAACAAGGACAAAGGAAAGGACAGGGAGAACGCAUGAUAUGAUAUACUCUUGCUUUCUACCCUGGUGAUAUGAGAUACUUUUGCUUUGGUGUCAUUUGUUUGCAGAGGUACCCCAAGGAAUAAGAAACACUGAGUGACUCGAGAGGCUUUGUUGGGAAGGCAUUCUAGGAGAUGAAGAAAGGUUCUUGGAGAUGAAGAAAGGUUCUCGGAGAUGAAGAAAGGUUAUGUAUGUCUGCCUUGCUAUGGAGGGUAAAGGUGGACAGUUAUAGGAAAUUCUUUAGUACCUGUAGAGGUACUAUUCUUUUACUCGUGUCGGCAACCAAUGUGUGAUUGAUCAGUAUGGCUUCACGUGUUUUCUUCUUUAUCAGAAAUCUUCGACAAAUUGUCCGUAAUUUUCGUCAAGCUGAGUGUGCAUGUGACAGGUGUUGACGAGGCUGAAAAAGACUGGUGCCUCUUCGAUAUCUGGGAUCGGCGCUUCGACAAAUUGCCCGUGAUUUCCGCAAAGCUGAGUUUGCGCGUGACGGGUGCUGACGAGGCUGAAAAAGACUGGCGCCUCUUCGAUAUCUGGGAUUGGCGCUUUAACAAAUUGCCCAUGAUUUCUGCAAAGCUGAGUUUGCACGUGACGGGUGCUAACGCGUCUGGAAAAGCAAGAUGCUUCUCCGAUUUCUGAGCUUGCCUCUUUGAUUUUUGAAUUGGCCUCUUCGAAUUCUGAGCUCGCCUCUUCGAUCUUUGAAAUCCCAUCGAGUGUUGAUCUUUAUAGAGGCACGCAGUUCGUUUCAAAGCACACUUGAAUUUUCGCUUGUAGAAACUCCCUUCUUGCACUUCUAAGAUCUUGAUUUGUCCGACCUCUUCUUUCUUCAACACCUUUGAAAAUGUCUGGACCCUCCGACCGUCAUUUUGAUUUGAACCUUGGUGAAGAGGUAGUCCCGUCUUCUCCAGAUAACAUAUGACGCCCAUCUUUCAUAUCCCCUACUGGUCCUCUUACCGUUGGGGAUUCGGUGGUGAAGAAUGAUAUGACCGCUGCGGUGGUGGCCCGAAACCUUGUCACUCCCAGAGAUAACAGACUACUUUCCAAACGGUCUGAUGAGUUGGCUGUUAAGGAUUCUCUGGCUCUCAGUGUGCAGUGUGCAGGUUCUGUGUCUAAUAUGGCCCAACGCCUAUUUGCUCGAACCCGUCAAGUUGAAUCAUUGGCGGCUGAAGUGAUGAGUCUCAAACAGGAGAUAUUAGAGGGCUCAAGCAGAGAGAUAAACAGUUGCAUAAGCUCGCACAUAGCUAUGCGACAAACAUGAAGAGGAAGAUUAACCAGAUGCAGGAAUCUGAUGGUCAGAUUUUACUUGAUCAUCAGAGGUUUGUGGGUUUGUUCCAGCAGCAUUUGCCUUCGUCUUCUGGGGCUGUACCGCGUAAUGAAGCUCCAAAUGAUCAACCCUUGGCUCCUCUUCUUCCUGGAGUUCCGCCGAGUGGUGUGGCUUCAAACAGUCAACCUCCGACGCCUCUCAUUUCUGGAGCUCUGCUGAGUGGUGAGGUGGCACCUAAUCGUCCUUGAAGAUCCCCUCUUGUAAAUUUGAUUUGAUUUUUUUUUAAGUAUGUAUAAUGCAAAUUUAUGUAAAAUUUCCAGAAAAAAUAAAUAAAAACGGACUUUAUUUCUCUCAAUGCAUUUGUUUUGUUUUGUUUUUGUUUUUUUUGUUUUUUUGUUUUUGUUUUUUUUGUAAAUACAUAAUAACAUAUGUAUUUAUUUAUUUAUUCUUUUGUAAUAAAAUUGACUUUCUUUAAUAAAACUUUUAUAUUUUUCUUAUUUAUUUUGAUAUGACUGAACUCGAAAUUGAAUGUUCGAGCCGCCUACGUACCCUUCCAAAGAAGAGAUCAAGCCAUAACGUAGUUCAAAUGAGUGAUGAAUUUAAUAGUGAUUUUGAUGAUGAUUUUGCCGUACACAGUUUAUGCUCUUGUGGGCCAGGAGCUUUGGUGUUGCCUUUUAUGCUCGUGCAGACCAGGAGCGUUGAUGUCGCCUUUUAUGCUCGUGUGGGUCAGGAGCGUUGAUGUUGCCUUUUAUGCUCGUGCAGACCAGGAGCUUUGUGCCAUGCAGUUUAGACUCGUGCGGGCAAGGAGCUUUGGUUCGUGCAGUUUAGGCUCAUGCGAACAAGGAGCAUUGGUUCGUGCAGUUUAGGCUCGUGCGAACAAGGAGCAUUGGUGUUGCCUUUUAUGCUCGUGCAGACCAGGAGCUUUGUGCUAUGCAGUUUAGACUCGUGCGGGUGAGGAGAAUUUGUGAAUUUUGUCAAGCACUUUUGGAGAGGCGUUCCUUACAAUCUUCAUAGCAAGGAGCCUUGACCGAGUGAUUGAAGAAGUCUUCGGGAAAGAAGUCGCACAUCGUGAUGGCAACAGACGAUCUUUGUGUCGUAAUUUCAUCAUCUUCAACACGUUCACGUUGCUUUGAAGGUUGACAAGAGCUGCUUUGCCCCCUUUCCGAUUGGCGGACUUGUGGAGGAGACGUAUGCUUCUUGUGCCAUUUCUUAGGAGUGACUUGAGUCCAUCCUUCAAGUUUGCUUGUUUUGGAGGAUGCCCCCGGCGGUUGAGGUGAAAAUUUUGUGUUGAAAGAGCCAGAAGUGAUGGUGGUAUAGUUUGACUUCACCACAUCGUCAAGAUCUAGCUCGAUGAUUCCUUUCUGAGCCCACUUUAUGAUGAGAUCUUUCAGCACAAAGCACUUUUCUGUCGGAUGACUGAUGAAGCGGUGGAAUUUACAGUAUCUUGGACUGUUGGUACGAUUCAUCUCUUCCGGCCAUCUGCACUCAGGCAAACUGAUCACCUUCUUGUCCAACAGGUCAUCCAACAUGGCAACCACAUCAGAGUCAGGGAAUGGAUAAGUCUUCUCUUUAAGCUCCUUCAAAGUGCGUCUACGCAUCUCUUGAUCACGAAAAGCUUCGGUUUGAAUCGUUUUGCCUCGUGUGGAGAUUUUGACGGGAGAUGUGUUGACUGUCAUUGCUUCCUUGGUGGAUUUCCACGUAGCCUUCUCCACCUUUGUCUCAAGAAUUUUGUCGUUCUUGUAGUCGGCGAUCGGUUCCUUCUUCCCAUGAUGGGUGAUGCUCAACUCCAUGUCAUGGGCGUGGGUGGCCAAUUCCUCGAAGGUCCGUGGUUUAAUGCCUUGAAGGAUGUAUUGCAAACCUCAUUGCAUGCCUUGGAUGCACAUCUCGAUUGAAGAGGUCUCCGAGAGCCUAUCUUUGCAGUCGAGGCUUAGAGUGCGCCAUCUGUUGAUGUAGUCAAUGACCGGCUCAUCUUUCCAUUGCUUCAUACUUGUGAGCUCCAACAUGCUUACAGUGCGGCGGGUGUUGUAGAAGCGGUUGAGGAAUUCCCGCUCCAAUUGCUCCCAGCUGUUGAUGGACUCAGGCUCUAGGUCCGUGUACCACUCAAAUGCGUUUCUUUUCAGCGAGCGCAUAAACUGCUUGGCGAAGUAGUCCCCCUCCGUCCCCGCGUUGUUGCAAGUUUUGACGAAAUGUGCAACGUGCUGCUUUGGGUUUCCUUUUCCAUCAAACUGCAUGAACUUUGGUGGUUGAUAUCCCAUCGGCAUCUUUAGGGCAUCAAUCUUCUUUGAAUAAGGCUUUGAGUACAACCCGGAGGUAUUUGAGCUCCCUUCGUACUAUGCCUUGACGGUGCUGGCAAUCAUCUCUUGCAACUGUUGGAUAGAAAGAGAUCCCAUGAGUGCCGCUUCUUGGUCUGGCUCCGGCUUCACAUCGAUUUUCUCCACCGUAGGCUCAUCUUCUGGGUUAGGGUUCUCGCUGUCCUGUGGCUCCAGUUGACUGAUGAGUGCAGCGAUUUGCAAGUCUUUUUCUUCCACAGUUCGGGUUAGCCUUGCGAUUGCUUCAUUCAUUUGAGCCAGUUGUUCUUCGAUGGAGGUAACGCCGAUGGUCAUGACUUGUGCAACCAAUAGACGUGACUUUCCUUUAGACAUCCAAGAUGCUGAAGAAGAACGUCAUUGGUUGUUUUGGGAUGUCAUCUUGUGUGCCUCAGCAACAUGCUUUGGUGCCCCCAGCGAGGUCAGGUUGAUGACAGACUCACACCUUUGAUGCUCCCUUUGCUCUUUUAGCGGCACCAACUUUGAAGUGGCAUGUUAAGGAGCGGUUGUGGUGCUAAUGGAUUGUCCAUUUGCGGCAGAAGUGCUUAGGAUCCUUCCCUCAGUGAUUGCGAGAACGGCUUGUCCCUUGCUUGAUGCCAUUGAUUUUGAGGUGUGUUUGGAUUCCUUAAACGGAGAAAGAUAUGAGAGGUAGAGAUUGUCCCACCGGGCGUGCCAAUUUGUGAACACGAAAAUUUCCUGAAACGAAAGAGACAAGAACAACGUGCACAAAAUAAUAUUUUGGUGUUAAUGGAUUUGUUGGGUUACGAUCUCUUUUAACUUGAUCCUCUGAUUCGAUCUCCGUAAGGUGUUGAUUUAUGGAUGUUUCGUUGAUCUAAGGGCCGUCGAGGCUUGAUCUUGGAUGAACUGUUGGAAGUUUCUUCAAGGGGCCGUGGGCUUGAUCUUUGAAGGUGGAUUUGAGCGGAUCUUCAAGGAGCCGUUGGGGCUUGAUCUUGAGGAUGAGUGUUUCUUCAAGGGCCGUUAAGGCUUGAUCUUGAAUAACGGUGAUGAACGGAUCUUCAAGGGCUUUUGGGCUUGAUCUUGAAGAACGGUUGGAUGUGUGGAUUUGUUGAUGUUGUUGAUCCAAGGGCCGUCGGGGCUUGAUCUUGGAAGAACGAUGAACGAAGAACGAAGAACACUUUCUUCAAAGGCCGUCGGGGCUUGAUCUUGAAUUGGUGAUUGUUGAUCCAAGGGCCGUCGGGGCUUGAUCUUGGAAGAACGGUGAACGAAGAAUGAAGAACGAAGAACACUUUCUUCAAGGGCCGUCGGGGCUUGAUCUUGAAUUGGUGAUUGUUAAUCAAAGGGCCGUCGGGGCUUGAUCUUGGAAGAACGAUGAACGAAGAACGAAGAAGGCUUUCUUGAUUCUUCGGGAUGAACGGAUGAUGAACAAUGAACACUUUCUUCAAGGGCCAUCGGGGCUUGAUCUUGAAUUGGUGGAAGUUCUUCAGGGCCUUUGGGGCUUGAUCUUGAAGGUGGAUGAUUGUUGAUCCAAGGGCCGUCGGGGCUUGAUCUUGGGAUGAACAGUUGUGUGGAUUUGUUGAACACUUUCUUCAAGGGCCGUCGAUGCUUGAUCUUGAAUUGGUGGAAGUUCGUCAAGGGCCGUUGGGGCUUGAUCUUGAAGAAGGAUUUGACGAAGAACGAAGAGAGCUUUCUUGAUCCUUCGGAAUUUGCUUGAAUUUGGGAGGUUGGAUGCUUGAAAGCUUUAGAGUUUCAAAGCUUCAAGGAUUUUGGAUGUGUGGGGAGUAUUCUCUUACAUUUUGGGAGUAGAGAAAUGUAUUUGUGAAUUGGUUUUUGAUACCUUGAUGUAGAAGCCUAUUUAUAGGCUUUGAGAAUGAAUCACCACCACAAAAUAUUUUUUUCUUUUCCAAGCACCAUUGCCUAAUUUCCCACUUAAUACAAUUUUAAACUUGAAGUGGUAAUUUUAUGGCCUAAUUUUCCACUUAAUAUCAUUUUAAACUUGAUAUGUGCAUGCUUUGUCAUUGCCCAAAAUGAGAAGAAAACCUUGUUUUGAUCUUCAAUGGAUUGAAAUGUGCUUUGCCUUGUCAUUGCCCAAAAUGAGAAGAAAAACUUGUGUAAUCCUCCAAGGGUAUUUCUUUUUAUUUUGUUGAGUCACACACCAUGUGUACAAUUUGUAUGACACGUGGCAUAUGCCAUAUAUGCCUUGACACGUCAAAAUUUUAAUGCGUUGGUGAACAUUUAUUUCACCGCAAUUUCGAUGUCUACAAUUUCAUUUCUUGUGAAUAAUGUUUAUCCUGUGUUCUGUCCAAUCGCGUAUUAAAAAAUGUGUGAAGUUUGGAUUAACCACACUCUUUUAGAAUUUCCUUUAUUUACCACUUUUUGAGAAUUUCCAAUAAGACUGGGUGAGUCUCCGCUGAGAAUUUCCUCAACUAACACCACACUACUUGAGGGAUAAUUUGUUAUAUCUUUGAAUAAAGAAUAAAACAGUUUCCUACUUUUGAAGGUACUAUUAACUUACACUAUAUUUGGAUGAAGGUCAAACUUUAUAAAUUGACAUACACCAAAUUCUUUGUUUGGAUUCAUAAACAUAUAAAUUUAGAAUUUCCGCGUGGAAAAAAAAAAUACUUAGAAUUUGAGACCUCCAAUUCUCAAAUUGAAAGUUUAAAAAUAAUAAAUUCCGUAUUCAAUUCAAUUGUUCUUUUAGGUUAACCAAAUAAGAAAAUUCACAAAUUCUAAAAUAUAAAAUCUCAUCAUUUCAAUUUCCGUCAUUUUAAAAUUCCUUAGUAAUAUUAAAUUUCUUCAUCCAAACAUAGUGUUAAGAAAUUUUUUAAAGAUACACUAUUUACACUCAUUUUUAUUUCUUACACAUUUAUUAACUUUGUCCAUUGAUUUCUUCAAUUCAUUUUGCCAGUUAUACAAAAAUUGAGAACAGUAUUUAUGAAUUAAAAAUACAUUUGUAGAUGUCACUACCAAAUUUUUAUUCCUAAUUCAAGAAAAUCUUAUCCAUAUAUGAUUGCCCUUGCCCACUUUAAAUGGGUGCCAUCACUUUACGAUAGAGCAAUCCUAACCGUCCACCUAGGUAAGCAUAACUGGCGAUGCAUGUCGCAAGGGGACCGCAUUGCACAAUAUAAUUAUACUAGUUGAUAAGACAAGUGAUGUCAAUCAAUAAAUUAUUUCAUUAAAACUUAGUUGUAUGUAUCAUAUGUUGUAAUGUAGGGUGUAUGAUAUGCUGACGCUGUAAAAAAAUGUAACCUUUUUAAUAUUACUCAUAAUAGUAAGACUUACCAGUAUUAGGAUGUUAUCAGUGGAAUGAGAAUCCUCUCCAGAUCUUUUUUGUGAGCUAUUAUUUGUAUUUAAUUUUAAAUAUAAAAAAUUAAAAUAAUUUAUGACGGCAGUGAUUCACAUGAUCUUCACAAAGAGAAUCCAAAUAAUCUUAAUUUAUAUCAGUGUGUCUAGAUAACAUGAUCGAGCCCCUUUACUUUUACCCUAUUUAGUAUUUUACAUUUGAACCUGUAAAUAUUCGAUUUUUCUUUGGUGCAACCGAGCACCAAAUAUAGAUUUUUUUUCACUUUUAUAUAAUGAUAAAUAAAGGGCAAUUGGCAGAUUUGAAUUCCAUUCGGAUUGGUCAAAAAUCAUUUUAAAUUGUUUUAUUUAAAAUUAAACACAUAUAGUACUUAAUAAAAAUUAGUCGUACAAUAUACGAUAAACAGAUAUAAUGUAAGGACCUUUAUGAUCUUCACAAAAAAGAUCCAAAGGUUGUGUAGCUGUUUCAAAAGGAUAAUACUCACUUUUGAUUAGUUCAAUGAAAUUUUAAACAUGUUUUAUUGUUUUAAAAAAUAAUAAACAUAUUUAUUAAUGUUUGUUUUACUUUAAAAAAUAAGCAGCACUUGACAACAUUUGAUUGUGCUAAAUAAAAAAUGAGUGACCACUUAGUACUACAGUCUUAUGAUAUUUUUCUUCAUUUGAAAGUGAGAGGUUUUAAGUUCGAAUCUCGUGGAUGACGAAUUUGAUAUCAAAUUAGAUUGCUCACUAUGUGGCUUAGCCGAACUCUCAUUUCCUUUAAUGUAAAAAUAUUGAUGUAUUCAAAAAAAUAAAAAGUGACUAUAGAGGACACUCAAUCUCAGCUGUAUGAUUAAAUCAGACGGUAAGAAAAAUUCUGCAAGCAUACUCGGUUACAUUAAUUGAAGAAAAAAUGGGUAAAUAUUGGGCACCAACGUUAUAAAUACCCUCCACCAUGCACCCAACUCCCUCACACCAUCACAACCCACGUUACAAAUCCUCCUCCUCAUCAUAACCAUUCUGUUUUCCGCAUAAUAUCCAAAAACCUAUCAUGUCUGAAGAGAAACACCACCGCGGUCUCUUCCACCACCACAAGGAUGAAGACAAACCCUCAGACUACCCUCAGUCUGGCUACUCUGAUGAAGGACGUCCCGGCGGCCUCGGUGGUGGUUACGGCGACACCAAUGAUUAUUCUGGUGAAGGACGUACCGGCGGCCUAGGUGGUGGCUAUGGCGACACCAAUGCUUAUUCUGGUGAAGGACGUCCCGGCGGCUAUGGCGGCUAUAACGAGACCACUGCUUACUCUGAGGAAAGAGUUGAAAGACCCGGCGGUGGCCGGUACAGUGAGACUACUGCGGCAUAUGGCAGCACCACCACUCAUGAAUCUGAACUUGAUUACAAGAAGGAGGAGAAGCACCACAAGCAUCUCGAGCACCUCGGCGAGGCCGGUGUAGCUGCUGCCGGCGCUUUUGCCUUGGUACGUAUUGUAUUUUAACCCACCUCUAUAUAUAUAUAUAUUAGAAUAAUGCUAAUAAGACCAAAUUUUGAAAACUAAAUGAUGUGGUUGUUGAUAAUGAACUUAUUACUCAAGUCUUGAUUAACAUGCUUAUUUUCUAAUAGUGACACAUUAUUUGGUUUAGAAAUUUGGUCUUCCUAACUUUAUCAUUCUCAAAAUUUUCAUGAUUUUGAUAGGGUAAUACGGGAGAUCAAAAUUUCUAAACCAAAUUUGCAAACCAAUAGAUGAUUGGAUUAUUAAUUAAGUAUCGAUUGUUUGUUUCUUAUUAACGACAUAUCAUUUGAUUUACAAUUUAGUUAAAAAAAAUUUAUUCUUUCUGUCAUAUCCUUUUGAAUAUUUGAUCACUUUACUCUUUAUCACUUUACCCUUGAUCACUUUACCCAUACUCUUGCAACCGAAUCACCGUCCUCCUCCUUAACCUUCAUUUUUUUGUCUUACAGUACUCCAAUCUAUCAACUCUGUCCAUUGCAACUUUAAUUGUGAAGAAAAUUAAAGUCCUAUCGUAAAAUUAAUUAGUGAUAUGGAGAGUUGCGCAAUUAUUGAUGGACUAGGUAGGUAAGAUACGGAAUCAAAGUCUACCAUUAACAAUGGACGGAAUUGAUGAACCAUAUAGGUAUGUAAGAUACGGAAUCAAAGUCCUCAUGUAAAUGGUACAGUUGCAAUCAGGAGAAGAAAUGAGUUAACUGAUACCUUCGUAAUAGUUCAUGUAGAGUUUUGAUAUUAUUAAGCCUUAACCACCUGAUCUUAUAUAUACGAGGACAAAUCUAAUCAAAUAUGUGUUAAUUUCAAGGUUUGUUUUACAUUGAUGUGAGAUCGAUGCUAGCAAGAUAUAUAACUUAUGUCAGUUUCUAUAUGAUGUGUGUAGCAUGAGAAGCACAAUGAAAAGAAAGACCCAGAGCAUGCCCACAGGCACAAGAUAGAAGAGGAGAUUGCUGCAGCAGCUGCAGUUGGUUCGGGUGGAUUUGCCUUCCAUGAGCAUCAUGAGAAGAAAGAGACAAAGGAAGAAGAGGAAGAGGCUUAUGGAAAGAAGAAGCACCACCACUUCUAGAUCUAUGUGGAUUGUGGAACAUCAUCUUUUGACUACAUAUGCAAUGUUGUGUUUUUACUAGUUAUCAUGUGGUGUGAUCAGUGAGAGUGUGAUGCUUAAUCUCAACAAUAUCGCUACAAUAGUUGAGUGGUUAAAUGUC